rnacentral:lncRNA from 1 species
AUUUAAAGGUUCUAAAAUUAGAUCCGAAGCGCCUCCGAGUGCAUUCCAAAUCUAGAGAGAUUUUUUUUUAAUUUCCGUGAGGGUAGCUUACAAACCAGUUUAUAUGAUUCUUUAAGGACAAGAGAGAAUGAGGGAAGCUAUAGAUUUAUCUGACAGCAGGGUAGAAAUUCCUAGAGAGGCCUUCUUCUACACAGAUAGGGGCAGAGAAGGCAGAGAUGCCUGUACAGAAGGUACUGAACAAAAAAGUAAAUAUAGAGAAUAUAUAGCAAUUUUUUUUUUUAAGGUUCACUAAACUUUGUAGGCUGUGAGUAACUUGAGUAUGAUGAAUGCAGAAAUAUGAAGAACAGUAUAAUUACAUCAAAAAUUAAUAAUACUCAUGAAUAUAACAUAAAUUUGUAACAUAUUUUCCCACAACAAAAGUGAUCUCUAAUUAAGAAGCAGCUCCUCAUGUAAACUAUAGUUUUGACAUGGAUUUAGACGUCUCAAUGCAGAAUUAUCAAAAAGUACCAUAAAUAGCAAAAAAAAAUGUCGGAAAAAUGAGUCGUAACAGUAGGGUAUCCGGUGUCGUUUUACCUGCAAUAAGAGCACCAAUAGCUACACAGAAUGUCCCAACUUGAAGAAGAAGCUCCACUCGACUAACUUCCAGCCUCCGCGAACUGAAAGUUACAAAAGUCAGAUAUAGCCUCAUUAUUUUUAAUGCUACAAAAUUAGAUAGGGCCUUCUAGUAUACUUAGAAAGCAAAAAGAAAUAAAUAAUUUAAAAAUCAUGAAUUGAGCAUCAUUUUUCUUCAAGAAUCGAAGUGUUAUUCCCUCUUACGGGAGAUUUGAAUAAAAAAAUCAUCAUGUACUGCAGUUCAUGACUGAACAAGAAAAAGGAAUAUUGUCUCCAACAAGGCAUAGUUGCCAAACUAAUGUUUUUACAUAUGUUUUAUUGAAAAACACAAAUAUUUCCAUCAUUUAUAAUUUUUAGAUAUGGUCAGAAAACCUAUUUAUCUUAUUUUAAUACGUUCUCAUUAAAUGAAUAAAAUAAGAAAAAACGGCACAAAUCAACCUGUGAAAAUCUGGGUCUGUUCACUAGGGCAGUAUGAAUUAGCAGCUGUGUGUCUCACCAUUUGAAUGUUGCAAGCAGUACAAUAUGCAAGGAGUGUAGCUGAUGGUCGUUGGUCACGGUAUCAGUACCGAUAUAAAUAGUCAAAGAUCCAACAGAGAGAUGCCAACUGUGGUCAGUGCUCCACAGCUAAGACAGGCAGAGUACCAACAGUAAAGCAGAAAGAAGUCCACCCCACGCGUUUGGCUGCCUACACCAUCAGCUGCAACCUGACGAUGCAUGCCGGUUGAAGCACUCUCCACGUGUCUGGCAGAGCACCACCAGCUGGAAUCCUGUGCGAGACUUCCAUAAUUUUGUUUCUAGUGUCUGUCCAAUCUCCAGAACCUGCCUCUAUCUUUCAAUCUAUUUGAUUCUAUUAACCUUUCAGUUUUCCUCUGGAUUGUCUGAACUUGCCCAGAAUCACCAAGUUUAUCUCGACCACGAAUCAGAUAGGGCAGAUCCACUUGCAUUACACUAAAUCUUACUCGAAGCGUAACAAAUGAAAUCACAGAUAUUAUAGGAAAUAUGUUGAGAAUUUUUAGUUUUACAAUAAAAAGAUAUUCCAGCAAGGAUGAUGCCGGAUAUCAAGGCAGAACUCAAAAUUAGAAGUAAAAAGUUGGGAUAGGCACGCCAAGACUAAAAUUAAAAAUGAUUCUUUUUUUUCUCAUUUAUGUACGUGAUGAAUAGAUCAUCUAAUAAUGUAACAAAGGGAAAUAGAGGCAUUUCCACCAUUAUUUAGACAAUUAAAUAGCAUAGGAGGUUAUUCAUUAUUUCAGGAUAGCCAUUUGCCAAAACAUAACUCAAUAUUCAAUGACAUUAUCAAGACAAUAACAGAAAAGUACAAUUACAGAACUCAUCCAUGAAAAAAAUAUAGCAGACCUUAGGUUUACAGCAAUUGAAUCUUCCAUUUCUCUAGCUGAAUCAAGGAGCCUUUCUGCUUGCCCGUGACAAGAUUCACAUCUGUGGUAGAGAAAUAAAGGAAAAAUUCAUGACCAAGUGAAAUAUGCCAACAAUUAAAACUUGCAGGAUGUACGUGAGGAUAAAACAUUCAACCGACCAUAUUUACAUAUUUCAUGGGAAAGCUCCUUCAUCAAAGUGACGAAUUCAGGAUUAUGACAUCUAAAUAGAUCAACGAAAUAUCCCCACGAACAAUCAGCCGAAAAUACUGACGGGGGUAUAUUAGGGAGAUAUGAUACCACAUAAAUGUCGUCAUCUAAGAGAAUUUCCACCAUAGGAGGGUCGAUAGAACGAUAGUAUCCAAACAAACUUUCACCAGACUAAGAUGUCUAAUUAAAAGAAAAAUUCAUACACCCUACAUAUUGGUCAAUUUCACUCGAACGUUCAUGAAUAAAUACUAUGCAUAUUAAUGAUUAAAGGAGACUCAUCUUUUUCUCUUUUCUCCUGAGUGGACAUUAAGGAUUCUCAUUACUAAAACAAUGGAGCCCAGCUAUUAUACCCCCUUAAGAGGAUUACGUGGUAAAGUGAAUAAGGAGAUUAAGAUGACUUUGAUAGUGAAGAAUUACGAAUUUUUGAAGAUUUAAGGCCCCUCUACAUUUUACAUUCUGAUGAGGGAAGGGUAAGAGGAGUUUUAAUGGUGAAAGGCUCCAGCUUAUCCUAUACUAACUGGGUUAUUUUAAAGCAAUCCAUAUCGAUAGAAGCACUUUACCUGCAGCCUUGGUAUAUGCAGAACUUUCAAAGCCAGGAGGCUAUUAAUAUGCAAAACAUAAAGAUAUCAUCAUGGAUUUUCCAUGAGAGACAAGACUGUGCCUGUGUCAUGCCAAAGUUAAAAAUGAUGUUACAACAUUCUUACAAACUGGCACCAUCUACAGAGUUCAGACCACUGAAUAUACUGUCGAAUAUUGGCGAAUUAGUAAUCUCUCUCUCUCUCUCUCUCUCCCAGAGAACAUGUCGUUCCUGUGGUACUGCAUGCGGCAGGUUUCUAAGGAGGCAUAUGUGCCUGGUGCAGAACCAAUGGUCAAUUCUGUUUGCUAAGUUUCUGGCAUUAGGCAGUACUUUGCCGUCAGCAGAGGCUCAUAUAUUUUACUUGAAUGGAAGCCGGUUAGCAUCAAUGGGCCGCAGAAAAAAAAACUGAUGCAGGUAUGCUGAGGCACACCGUAAGAUCAAACACUAAAGCACAUCUCCAGUCUCAUGCAUUUCACUGAAAUUGGGACAGCUCAACGUGCAUCCAGGAUAACUAGACAGAAAAUUUGAUAUGGCUGAGCCAGGUGACAAACUUUGUUUUGAUAACUUCAAUCUAUUUUUAUUCCCUCGUGGCUGUUCAGAAGGACUGUAAACAACAUUAAUGCGAAUAGAGAGAGGAGGGCAGAUCAUGCGAAUGGCAAUAGGAAGAGAAUUCACAAAAUAGAAGAACUUGUCACAAAAGAUACUGCUCUGCUUGAGUUUAAGGGUAGGCCACAAAGUUUACUUGUGUAUCAGAUCAUUAUUAUGAUAUGCUUUUUGAAGCCAUAAAAGGGAUCUCAAUAAAGAAUAUUUUAUUAAAGAAACUAAAAGAAUUAGUUGGGGGUCUGCACGUUCGCUUUGAAAAACUAUUCUGUUAGAAAGAUCAUGAACUACAAUAUGAUGGUAUUCUAGAAAAAAGAAAAUUCAUUAUCAUAGAAAUAUUUAAACGCCAAUAAUUAAAUCCAAAACUGUAGAAAAACAAUAAUUAAUUACAUACCUUUGGAGAUAAUUCUCCAAAAGCAUCUCGAUUUCCUCCUCCUCCUCUGUAAAAGAACAGUUAUGGGUCAUACCGGUGAUACAAGUAUGGCUGAUAUAAAGAUUGAACAAACAAGAAUGUGAAGUAAACACGUAUUAUGCCAUAUAAUUUCUUUAGAAACAAUACUACUCAAAACGUAAAAAAAUAGAGCAUCUUAAUAUGUUGACAAAUGGAAAAAAAGACAGUGGUGAAUAAAGGGAGUAACGAAAGGUGAUAGUUAUUCACACAGCAAGCCUGACUCUCAAGCUCAUUAACCACAUUAAUAAGCUUUCCACAAAUAACAUGUUUUGGCUUUGAGUCAAGUGGAUCACCCCCAUCUACAUCCUAAAGAUCUGAUCUCUAAUGAGAGAAGGCGAUUCAAAGUCACAUACUUGGUCAGAUUCCAUGGUGUAGGAACGGCCUGCAGUGUUCAUGAUGCAAUUGAGAGCCAUUCUUAUGCCCCUUUUUGCUGCAGUGUAAAUCCAUCAAAAAGCCCUAACUCAUGUCCAAAUGAGCUAUAACCCCACAACCUAAUGGACUCUAAACUAUCUCCAAGCAGGGUCCAAACCACUGGCUUCAUCUGUUUUAACAGGAGCCCACUAACAAAAAGGGUGGAUCAAAUGAAGGGCCAUGGCUAAUCCAUAAAGCAAAUGUAGAUCCAUACAUUCGGAGGGGCACCAGUAAUCCAAUAGAUGUUUCUGGAGGUGGACAACCAACUGAAUGGUCACCAGGCCGUGGAGGAUGGCUCCAAUGUGAAUGAAGAGAUAUCUGCUACUGUUAGCAUCAUGUCCAACUGCACGAGGAAAGAAUCCCAAACUACCUUUCUAAACUACUACAAAGCCAAAACCUCCGAAUGAAUUAACAUCAGAGAAAAAAUAUAAGGAAGAUUAUUCAUUAAGGUGCAUCUGGUAUGUAAAGGAAAGCGAUGACAGAUACACCUGACCCAUUAAUAUAAACACAAGUAGUCAUUCGAGCGUUGAUACUGACAAAUACCUUUUGAUUUUACAAAAAAUUGUUGCUAUUUUAAUAUUUAUCUUUGUUGAACAAGCUUCUCAGCAUAAUGUUUAAUGCGACAAAAAAAGCCAUGGCACCACAAUGAUUAAACCAUGCACCUUUUACGUUCCUACUGUCACAACAUCUUGUUAUAUAUUCUAUCACCUUUUCUGCUCAGAGACUGUUCUCCACAGUUAAAAGGGUCAGAAAAUAAUGAAAAAUCUACCUUAAUCUUUACAUGGCACUUGUCCAAUCAAGACAAGCUCUCCCAGAUGAUACAAAGUAGUUGGACAAUAAAACUCACAAAGGUUAAAAAAAUGAAAACUCUAGAUUUCGUUACCAUGACCUUGUGUAACGCAUGUUCAAAAGUAACCCAUGGAAUAAGAGUGCCCAAGCCCAUAAUUUCUAUAAAUAAAAAUUUAAAAUCAAUCUAAUGACAGAGCUGAAACGAAUUUCUUAUCAAACGAAAAUUUUUCAACAGAUAGCAAAUCAAUUCAUGAAAUGGAGGGCAUGACGAGUAAUUUGGCCACUGAAACACAAUGGACGGCUUAUUAGACACGGCAUAGUAAAAGAUUAUUACCUUCAGCAACCUGUCUUUCCGAAGGAAGUGCACAUUCCAUAUCACCUCUCCGAAUUAUGCAGUUCCGUCCCAUCACACAAAUGCGACGGAUUGCAUGAUGAUCCUCUAGGAGAUCAAGUAGCAUCUGUUUGAGAGCUCCUGCUCGUGAACCUAGUUCUACCUUCAUAUACAAUCGAGAAUUCAGAGGUUCCAAUCAAUCUUAAAGAUUAUCAGGCCAUAAUACUUAAUGCAUAAACGAUGGCUAAUCAUACUAAUGUCUGUUUGCUAAUGCGGAGCUGCUCCAGCACAUCAGCUGUCAGACGAUUGGGCAAGACUUCAAGUAAUGCAACCACCUAUGCAAGAAGCAAACAUGCAUUAAGUGUAUGAAUGCCACUAUCAUAAUUGACGAACUGUACUAAAAGUAAAAAGGGAAACUCAUGACAUCCCACAGACAGAAAGAGGAUAGCAACUAAACUUACGAAAAAAAUCAAACCUAGAAUGUCUAUUAUGUACAUUUAAUAAGCAAACUCCAUUUCCUCAUCCUGUCAUCUAAAACCCGACAUCAUGUUAUUCCACCAAUCAUUCUCCGCAGAGAUGACUAUCUUAGUGAUAUUCAGUAAAUAAGUAAAGAUCUGCAGGAAUCUUCUUCUUUUUUUUGCCUCCACUGAGCCCCGAGUAUAUAAAGUAUAACAAAAAACAAGUUGGCCCACUAGAGUGUCAACAUUAUUAUUGCUGGUCACAAAAGAGGGAUUACUUGGACAUAUAUGAUAUCAAUAACUUUUGAGACGCUCUCAUCUAAAAGCUAGAUAUCACAGGUCUUAAUGAUUAUGUUUAGACCUUUUUGAGAGAUACAACAUGAGAUCCUUAUUUUAAGGCAAAAUCCUUAAAUUUUUUAUAGGGGUUUAAGUAUAGAUCUUACUUAUCCCAUGUAAAAUCAACAAACUGUCACCAUCAAAGGUAGUAACAUCAUAAAUCGAUUAAGAGAUCUUCACAUCUAGUUACACAGAAAUAUCUACACACUAUCACCUCUGUAUAUGUCUUACUAUCACCAAAAUGAAGAGUUUCAUACAGUGAAAUCAAUAAAAUAAACUAGAAUAAGAUAAUAACUUUCGUUUGGUGACAAAUUUGCGGAUAAGAUGAGGUUCAAUUUAAAAGGUAUAUGAGAACACGGGCUUUCUCUUUUUAACAAGACCACCUCAUUCUUGUUUAUUUUUUUAUGUUAUGGAGUUCAAGUCAAUUGUUUUAUACUAGUAAUAAGUAUUAAUGAGUACGGAUUCGUCACAUAUACCUCAUCCAGAGAUUUUUGAAAUACAGAAUUCACCCUUCUUUUUAGUCUAUCUCAAAAUGCAAUUUUCUAACAGGCAUAUCCUCAACACUGCAAAAAGUACAAUCAAAACAAAUAAGGAUAAUUAAAAUAAGGUGCCAAGCACUAAUGAUCUGACGUAUAUAGCGGAUGAUCUGAUCCCUGAAAAUGCCGAAGUUAUUCCAAUAUCAUAAGUUUACAGUCCAUGGCAUAAAAUUUAUAAGAUAAUUUUAUUUAAGAAAUUACUGACGAUUAAUUUUAAAAUAUACCUUAUUUUUAAUAGACAUUUUUUUCCAUAGCACAGAUGUAAUGAUUUUUUUCUUUUUGAAAGGAUCUGUUGAGUAUCAACAUUCAUAGGUGACUGCUUUCCAUUUCUCUAAUGCUUCUGAAUGUUUGACAAUUGAGUUGACCAUCUUCAACAUUGAUCAUUCUGAAGUCCCGCCAUUUACAGUUCAUUAUUUUACUUCUCUUUCAAAUUCUUAUCGUUGCAUAAACAUGCCCCAAGAUGAUUUGAUAACACUCGAAUAUUGUAAGAUCAUAUCACUACAUAUGAAUGGAUAUAUUUUCGCCAGAGAUGUUAAAUGAUACAGUCACAUUGCAAUGGUGGAAUUCAACUGGCAUAAACAAAAAUUAUCCAGAAGCGCGUGAGUUGGCUUAAUCAAUCAAAUAUUGCUACUAGCCCACGCAUCUCAACCACCCAGAGAUUAUUCUGAGGUGACACAAACAGAACCAUACGAAGGAAUAUUAAUCUAGGGAGUUAAUCUAAGAAAUGGAGCGGAGAAUUUCUAAAAGUCGAGACAGUUUUGACAGUUUUGACAGUUUUGAGCCCCAUACCAGACAGAAAAAUGAAAAAUAAUAAACUUGCGAAGAAGUGGGGCUAGUUCUAAUUAGAAUAUGAAAUAUCCCCCUACUUAGAUUGAACGCUUGUGUAAAGGAUUGAUUGAGUUGCCCACCCAACAGCAAUGAUGACCCGUUUGUUUCAUAUUCCAAUACAGAUAACCGCCAAUGCAUCAACCAAUGGCCAGCUUUUCCAAAGAGAUGGCUCAAUAUUCCAUAAACUACUACCACAUACCUUUUUCCUUUCUUCUUGCAUCAACCUACUCAGAAAAUGACCAAAAUUUGUGGAUGGCAAGAUCUGGUUGAUUUCCACCUAGAUGAGGUCGUGGAUGGCAAAAUGUGCAGUAAUCGCAUGCCCACUUCCAGAAUCUUACUACAAAUUCGAAGCAUCAAAAAGAGUGUGACCCACUAGAAGGCUUUUGUUAACUGACCGAGCGUAAAGUUGGUUCCUUAACUAGAUCAGAAGAGCCAAGAGAUAACCACUACUCCAAUUGAAGGUUGACUAUGUUUCCACACAAAACCGAUCAAAAAGGUCAAUUCAGAUAAUUAAGUCCAUCAAAAAUACAUUUUUAGUUUAAAAGAUAGGCAGAGACUAAGGCGAGUUAUUGGAGGAGAAAGAUAAAACGCAGAUAGAAACCUAACAUUAGGGCGUGAUUGGUGUAGAGACUCACUUUCCCACUCUGAGGCCACCAAAUCGAGUAGGCCUGAACAGGACGGCAAGUAGAACAGUUUGUCUGAAUAGGACACAGGGCCCAAAUGCGUUAUUGGGUAUCUAUACCCAAUUAGCUCGGUCACUAACACAUUUGAGGUCUCACUCAACAGGAUAUAUUUGAAGAAGAGCAAAUAUAACAGUUUUAAAAUAAAAGCAUUGCUUUAUGGACCAAUUGAUACCAUUUAUUUGUGAAGAAGGAUAAGAAACCUGCCGCAGCAGGCAGUAAAAGAGAUGAUAGUGGAUGGGAGUAAGAAUUUUUACCCACUCUCCUCAGUUCUUCAACUAGUCUGAAUGAUAUGAUCAUUUCAUUUCUAAUUUUUUCUAUUUAUCAGAUAAACUUCAUAUCGUCUUAUGUUGCUCUUUCAGCCAUGACAUAAAUGUAUCCCACACAAAAUAGACUAGCAGCCAACUGUUGUCCCCAGAUAAUCUUGUUCGGCGCCCAUACCAUGAAAAUGCUGGAGUGUAGAUAGGAAAAACAUCAGAUAAACAUAAUGAUCUUAGUAACGCAGUCUCCCCCAUCAAACUACCAAAUCAGAAAUAUGUCAUGAGACAGUUUGCUUAGCUGGGAGGGUCACCUAUGGCUUGCACUAGGGAACAUAGUAUGAUUGGUUUAUAAAAACAUCAAAGUUCCAGGAUACUCUAUAAUUGAGAUCUGUGUCUCCGAACUUCUUCAGGUGUGUUAAUAAUGGAUUUUUCUCCCAGGAAGCUAGAAACACUGUCCUUGUGUAGAUCUUCUCUCUUCCAUUCUUUACAAAUCAACCGAUCGCAAAAGUAACUUGCAGCAGAAUUUCGAGUGAAAUUGAGAUAAUGAAAUCAAUUCUAAUGUGAUUAGAAUUGAUGGCUAUGUAAUACAUCUCAAUAUUCCUGAACCUACCUUCCAAUAAGUACCAACAGUGUCUCCAGUGUAAAUAAGCGGUCUGACAAAAAUGUUUCACAAGAAACUGAACAGUGCAAAAAUCAUUAAUGAAGCAAUAUAGGAUGUUAGAGUAUACGUGUGUACAAUACACAAAAACUUCAUACAAGAAGAAAUUCUCCACAACUGUCCUGAUGUUGAUGCAGAAUUUCACCUUCAAAGGAAUUGAUUUUCCCUAACCGCACAUGAAACUUCAGCAUACCACUAUCAACUAAAAAAUCAUUGGCGACAUGAUGUGCAUGGAUAAACUGCAACUCCCUCUCAUUUUACAACAGACUAGCAUAACGGGUGUAAGCUUCAACAUCCCAUUGUGACUAGCACGAAUAUGUAACGAUCAAUUAGCCAGUCGAUAUAAAGUCAAUAAGGUAUCAUAUUCAUAAACAGCAGAAUGAAAAAAAAUGUCCGUGAAAUCCCAAUAGAUGAAUACGUAACAUCAUCAAUUGGGAUGCCAAAAUAAGGUUGGAAAAGGAAUUUGCCAUGGCAUAAAAGUAACCAGGUGACUACUACAAUAUGAUGCCCUAAUACUCACACGAGGUUCCAGAUCAAAAAGUUUUUGCUCUAGACGUUGUAUUCUAGACAGCAAUGCAGCUUCAACAACCUGCCAAGUGCAUCAUGUACUCAUCAGAAGAAUCUAAGAAAAUUACCUUAACGUGUAUAUAAAUGAAACAAUGCUUAUUGCCUCAUGAAGUCAUUAUUCUAAAAAUAAUAAAUAUGCUUAAAAAAUCAGCGACAAAUCCAUAAGAUGUACACAACUUUUCAGCCUCUGAAUUGAAAACGUCAAAAAUAUGGAUUUUCAUUGACAACUUUUUCCAUUAUUCUACAAGCACUCUUACAAUUAGCCGCAUCUGUGACAUCUGCAGUUUCCCUUGCAGUAUUAUUCUUGUUGAGGAGCUUUUUAACUUUCUUAUCUUUCCAUUUUAUAAGAAUGAAGGACAAAAGAUUACCAUGUAGGAAAUAUUUACAAAUUUAAACACUUUGGUCGAUUAGAUACCAAAGCAACUAGUUCCAUGGCAGCAAGAUAUUCUAGUCAAAGAGACACCCAAAUAAUCCCCAAGGAGUGGGCAUAUGCAUUGAGAUGGCUGAACCAUUUAUACCCUCAGGUACAGUCUUUUUUCUCGGGGAUAACCUCUGUCACCUGUCUUAUCCACCUAGAAUACAGUUCUAAAAUUACAGUCUCUGAUAAAAUUUGACACCCAAAUCAACCCCACCAUCAAUCCAAAAAACCAGGUCAUCUAUCUAAACAUCAAUUAUUAAUAAUUUACUGACAAUUCUUUAUCGGAGUGUUUUUUAGGGUUUUCCAAAUCGAAAACAUAAAUGGGUGCAGAGCCAGAUACUUUACUCCGGGUUUUUAAACUUAAAAACUAGGAAAUAGUUUAGAAGAGACUAUGAUGCCAGCAAGGGGUGAGAACAACACUUAAUUAGAAGCCACAUCAAAAUAGUCAAUACCCACUUCAUGGAACUAGGAACUGCAAGAUGACUAAUAAACCCGAAUCCUAAGCACAGAGAAUGUAUCGGCAAAAUUUUCGUAUCCAAAGAAAUAUGGAUUUUACUUGGAAAGUUGAAUUCGAAAAGAUAAAAAAAGUGAACAUGUAAUAAAAAAAUGAGGGUUUAGAAAAAAAAUUCGACAUUUCAAGUCAUACUUUUUAUUAACUUUGUUUGCAAAACGAUAAAAUCAGUGUAACGUGAGGAAGACAAAUCAGACCUUCAAGAAACGAGGGAGAGCAGGCUUUAGACUAUCCUCUUUUCAUUUUUUCGUAAUGUUUAUGAAAGGCUGAGGAUAUUCCAAGGAUUUCCAUCUCUGAACUGUGGGAAAUGAGGCUACUUCCCUGGUUUGAGCAAGUGUUCGUCUUUCACUUACUAGUACAAUCUCAGAUGCAUCAUGGUACGGGAUUAUUUGGACUCUCGUCAAAACAUUAAAAUAUUCCUCCCUUCCCUUUGUGAUGUUUUAUUGGAAAAUAAACACAUUGCACCAGCUGUUUGUUUCACAAGAUCUAAGUACUGUGUGGAUAGAUAAUACACAGAAGUAGCAAAAUUAAUUGCUAUUCCUUUCAUAUUUCUAUACAGCAUACUAAUGAUUGCCUAUGUGAUCUGAAGACUCACGUGAAAGAUAAGCCAUCUUCUGCUUUUGUUAGAAGAAUAUUCUCUUGCUAUUACCACACUAUACAGCUCUAUCAUUAAUUCGAAAUUUCAACAAAACUACUAAGCCAUAAAAGUUUUCAGAAACGAGGUAUUCCACCAGCACAUCGCAACAUUUAUCAAUAUUCACGACAAGCAUACAAAGACAAAGCCCACUCAUUAAUGCAGAACCCGAAUUUUACAAUGUUCUCCAUCAAUAAGGUUUUAAGCUUACACAAGAAAAAUCAAUAAUUAGCCUUAAUAUUGGGGCACUUAUAAUUUUACCAAUAAAAGCUUACCGUAAAGUAAGCUAAACAGACAGAAGCAUUUUUUUGAGCUAUAGAUAUACUCUAAAUAACCCACCUCAAUUUCAAAGGGCAUAGAUGGUGCUCCAUUUAUGCUUUUCGGAUUUAAGCGAGGCAACAAUAUCUUCAAAAAUGCCUUUCCACUUUUCCUACAAGGGGAUAAGAAAUUUUUUUCGUCAAUUUCAUAAUCAGCACAAAAUUAAUCGAUCCAACAACAGAAGCCUGAUUAUGAAAAGGCAUCAUAUUGUGCAGAAUGGAUACCGGUUAUAAUCAAAUAAAAGGACUCGUUCUUUCAUGGCUAUUAUCCGUAAGGAGCCAAGAUUCAAUAAAAUAGCCUGUUCUCGUACCUAGAAUAGACCAACACAAAAACCAUAGUUGAAUAUAUAGCUCAACAUAAACUGAGGGCAAAAAAGAUUUAAACCGCCUUGAAAUUUAAAGUUAAUUUAAAGGAUACAUUUAUAUCCUUCUAAAUCAGUUUCUUGGCCACCUAAGCUAACUCAGACAAGGAAUGCACAAUCGUAAAAAUAUAUAAAUAUGAUCAAAGAAAUGAAAAAUACUUGGGCUUCACUGUAUCUCAUGACAGAACAAAAAUAAGCGUUGCCUUUAUAAUUGCUAAAUAAUAAAUUUCAACAAGCAGUAUAUGUCACUUUUAAGGUAGUACAAAGCAAUCUGGAGCCACUAAAAAACAUAAUAACAUUCGAAAAGAUGAUAAGGAAAGCUGUGACUCUUGGGACAGUAACUGAAUGCUUGCCUUCUGAAGACCAAUUUCAAAGAAGCCAUUAAGGGCAAAUUUCUUUCAAGAUAUAAUCAAAAGAUUGUGAAAGAGAGUUUACUUCCAUCGUUACGGUUUUAUUAUAUUAUCUCGUUUCCGUGGCCUUAAGUUUAGCAAGCAUAGGACAUUAGUAAUACACAGCCCAUUACCAAAACUGGGAAUGUAGUAAGUUUAACAUCUCUGAAAGCGAAAGACUCUUGACUAUAGACGAGAUGAAACAAAAAGGAAGAAUAAUAAAAAAAGGAGAAGAGGAGGGAACUACCCUCGUCCCACAAUAUCAAGAUUCACAAUGAGAAUAGAAGAGGAAGUGACAAACAAGAUUCACAGGGAGAAGAAAAGACGAAGUCGUAGUGGAAAAGAGGAAGUUUAUCCUUUCUUUUAAUAUGUUAAUUUCAUUUUACUUCCCAGUACUCUAUCUUCAUCCUCUUUCUAUUUUUGGAUUGUAUUUAAUGAUUAUUCCGAAUGUAAAAUUGCUCCUUCCCUCAGUCAAUCAAUUCAACAGAAUUUUACAUGAUUCCAAAUUCAAUGAUCUGCCCCACUCUACAUUAGCCAAAUAGCUGGCCUUCAUAACUGCAAGACUUGGAUGCGAUUUUUUCCUUGUUUGCCCUCGACAGGGCAUCUGCUUACUCGUGAUGGAUGGUAAAUUUCACCACCAUAUACCAACUUUGUUGUACCAUGUUCAACCUGUCUGCUUUAGAAGGGUGGCACUAAAUGGGGAGGGAACAUCAGGAAAGUCAAUAAUCUCAAUGGAUAACAUUGUAGGAUAGACAAAGGAUGGAAUUAAAUCAGAUUAUUUACAUAUAGGAUUGAAAGAUAAUAUCAUGAUUAACUUUCUAAGUUUUUUUACGAACUUUGAUAACAUGGCGACAGAUUAUUAACAACAAGCAUAAUACUUCUACUUUUGCAUUUUUCAGCAAAGGUCUUGCCUUCUAAUGAUAACAGCAAAUUAACUUCAAGCCUGUAAGACAAAAGCACAAAAAUAUGUAAAUUUGAAAUUUUGGCUAUGGGUAUUAUCUGAUAACUUAAGGAAUAUUCCACGGUGUCCUGGAAGACAGAUCCUUAUCCUACCAGCAAAGAAGGCAUUGAGUUGGUCAACCACAAGGAUGGAUCAACACUUCUGAUAUCUCGUAGACGAAGGCCUGUUAUUCACAAGUAUUAGUCAGGAAACAUCCGUAACAAGAAACAAGAACAAAUGAUAUGCUUCUAUAGCAGAUAUAAUGGCAGCAAACAAAGAAUAACAUAGAAAAAAGAAAACAUGAAAUAGCCACUGAGUGCACAGUCAAGGUCAGUGUCACUACUAGAGCUUAAUGCUGCCAUGGAAUCCUCAACAAUGGGUUAUGAAAAAACUGCUGUUGAUCAUUAGUUUACUAAAUGUCCUAAAGUUCUGAUAAACUCGCACCCUGGAAUUUAAAAAAUAAAAAUACACAAAAUAAAUUAAGUGCACUCCAUUUUCUGUGCACACCAAAUACUAUGACAUGUAAAAGUACUAUAAGGCCAUUGGAGUCUCACAGAAAAAUCUAUUCAAUUCCUCAUCCAUAAAUUAAACAAAACACUAAAAACCAAUCUCUAACAAUCUCCUAAUGUUUUUUUUUUUUUUACCAAUCAACUGUAAAAAGACAGCUAGGAUUGCGUGGGCACAGUCUGGUUCAUAAAACUGACACACUUGUCUCAUUAGUCAAGAUGAAAUCUUGUUAUUGCAAAAUACGUAAGCCAAAAACGUAUGCAUCAUUAUCAUAAAGGAUCUAACCAUAUUAACUCAUCUAGGAUCAGGUGAUUCAGUUCACACUCGUUGAGAUGAAAGUUACAGAUGUGAAAGCUGUGCGUAUGAAACUAAACAUGUAAUAGAGUGCUAAAAGAUGCACAUCUGAUUUAUUGUACAUACUAUCAUUUAACUCGUCCACUAAUUUGCAAUGUUUGGAUUAUAAAAGUAUAUCCAGAUAUGUUCAAUCUGGAAUCAUCAGAAUAUCAUACUACUGCAACAUUUAAGUAUGAACGGACUUCGCAAACAGAAGAGGACAUAAUACUUUGACGAAACUAUCAUACUAUUCAAGCACCAAUGUGUUGGCAAACUACAUCUAAGCAAUAUUUCACGUCAUCAACCAUAUAUUAAAAUUAAUAAAACAGAAAAAAUGCCACUGAUCUCCUUUUAAGCUUGCAAAGGGUAAUUUAGAAAAUAUGCGAUUUAUUCAAAGGAAUGCAGCACUGUAGAUUACAUUACGUGGUUGAAAAUGGACCAUUCAAACUAUGCAGUAUAUGUGAAACACAGGUCAACAGAUUUUCUGUUCCAAUCAGCACUUACCACUUGACUUCAACAAUUGCCUCCGAUUUAUUUUCUUUGUAGACGUCACACCAUCAGAUCUUACUUCGACCACCUAAAUGGAAUUCAGAUUUAAUAAGGAUAAUGCACUAAGUUUUAGAUGGCCUCAAGAUCUCACUCCAGAAACAAUCAGAUGACAGGGUCCAUAGAAUGAAUGUCGUUACAAUAUAACACAAAAUAUUACGGAUGGAAAGAAUGAAAUCCGGACAGAAUUAAAACAAAACGCGGUGCAAUCAAUCACUCAAAUGUUGAAUGUAUGUAGGAACCAAGAAAUAUAGUCUAAGAAAGAUAAAAAUGCCAUGCACCGGGAACGUUAACAUACUUUCCAUGUCAAAUAUCAUCAAUCAAUUACUACUGUUCUUCUCGCAUUAUUGGGGAUUCUACAAAAAUAGAGGGCCAAGCAUCUUGUCUAAUCAAUGCUUAAAAUGAUCAUGGCUAACAUUUUUACUUUAUAGAGUUAUCGUAGCAAAAAGAAAAGAAAAAAACCUCUGAUUCAGUAUAUCACUGUGUCAGCAGUGAAACUAAUGGCGUUAGAAGUGUUUGAUUUUAUUUAUUUUUUCUCUGUAUGGUUAGUAUAUGCAACAACGUCAAACAAAAGGCAAGAUUGAUGAGGUUCAUCAUCCUAUUCCCCAGCAGACCACGACAUCUAGAAUGACCACGCUUCUAGACAGUGCAAAAUAACUGCAACCGCCGACAAGAAAAACAAAAUUCUGCUUCACACAUAAAGCCAUAAGACUGGAGCCCAAGUAGAGUUCAAACUACUCCCAAACAGAGGCUUGUAUGACACAAUGGGCAUUGUACCUCUUUUCAUCCUAUGUACUAUAAUUGUUUAGGCUUACCAGCAUCAGUCGCAAAGAGAAAAAAAAUUAUUUCUAUAAACACCAUCAAGGUCAGAUCUCUAAAGAUUAUAUUAGCCGCCAGGAAUGGAAGCAAGCUGUUAUGUACCUUGGGAGAACCACACCCAAAGCUAGCUUUUAGAAUGUCCCUCCCAAAGCACAUAACAAAUGGUAUCAGACCCAGCAACAGUCUGUCAGUCACAACUGUGUUGAGCACAAGUAGUUAAUCUAGCAUUGCAAUGUUCGCACAGGACUAGUAAAGACUAGUGGAAACCCAGCCCACAUGGGCGACGUAGCUGCAGAGCAUGGCUGCAUAUUAUGCCCCAUUUCCAAGGUAUGGGACUUAUCCCACAUUUGAAAUGCGGGCUUUCGACGGGGGGGUUUAAGUGUUUGUGCUCUCCAACCUCACAAGCAGGCUUUUAAGAUGAGGUUCUGCACAGGUACAAGACACUAGUUGGUCACUUUUUAGUGCAAAUUUUGCAAAGAAUGAAGAAAGGCUGUACUUCCCACUCUCGUGUCACGGUUAGGAAGACGGCUUGACUUCUCCGGUACAUGUCAUCAAGCCUCCCGAGCCAGGGGAGAGAAGACUCGCAGAUUCUCAGUAAAGCGGAACACAUAUUUUCGUCUUCAAGGAAUUCAAUCAAGUGAUUAGGAAACGUCUCAAACAGACCUCAUAAACCGGUUCUUUGAUCCCGAGUGAGAGAGAAUCCGAAGGCGCUGCUGGCGUCUGAGUACCCUGCUCCGCCGCCGCCCGCGUUUCGCGGCCCUCCCCUUCGCGGGAGGAAGGGUUCCUCCGAUUAACUUCGCGCAGUUCCUCCACAGGCUCCCCGCUCCCGUCCUCUCUCCUAACUUCAUCUUUUUUCACCGUCGCACGGGAGCUGCUUCCUCUCCUCUCCUCUUGCGACGAUCUAAGCCGCCACGAGAAGAGCCGCGCGGUGACGACGGGGAUUACCCCCUUCCUUCUCCACCAUCUGCUGCCCUGGAUGGAAGAAGCGGGAGACGUAGAUAACAGUGAUCCGAAGACGACGAAAGCACAGUGGCGGCGAUGGCAGAUGCUAGAUGACGACUGUGGCUCGUGAAGGAGAAGCAAGGGGUUGAAGGAGAGGGGCGGCGCGCCAGCUGCGCCCGCCAUGCUGCUUCCCACUGGAAAUCCACACAGAGAGGAGAAGUAAUUGCCACCCGACAGAUGUAAGGGCGAGACCCAGGGCCAAAGCAGCGAGCGAGCGAGCGAGAGAGAGAGAGAGAGAGAGAGAGAGAGAGAGAGAGAGAGAGAGAGAGAGAGAGAGAGAGAGAGAGAGAGAGAGAGAGAGNNNNNNNNNNNNNNNNNNNNGAGAGAGAGAGAGGAAGUCUCUGUCGUGCCCGUACCUGGCCGCGCCACGCGGGAAUCCAAGCUUUAACCUCGACCUUCCACUCAACGGGUGCGGCUCAGGCCUGUAGUAAUUUUCUAACUACUUUUUCACAAUUCCUGAUGGUUUUAAAAAAUGCAUUUCAAAAUAUAAAAAUAAAAGUUCUAAUUUCCCUUUUCCUCACCUAAAUCCCCGUUUAAAAAAACACGGCUUAAAGAAUAAUAUCUUUUCUCGCCAAUAAUUUAAUUAACUGUCACAUAUAAUCUAUUUUCUGGUAUAUAAAUCAGAAUUUAGCGCUACAUGUAAGAGCGACCUAGCCCAGAUUGUACUGCAAAAUUUCUUUUUUCUAAAUUUAGUUUUAAUAUGGAUUUUUCUGAUCAUACGAAAACCUCAUUAAAAUAUUAGCCGUUUUCGAUUAAAAAAAAUAUGCUUUAAUUUUUUGUAUUUUGCUUAACUUAUUUAGCCGGUGUUAGGCCCUACCUUUGUCGUAUAUCCUGGGCCCUAUCCGGAACCGAGACCAGAUUGACACUCAGCCUAGGUAUGCCACACGUGGCAGCCUCCGUUUUUCGGGCAGGUGGCGGUGUAAUAUUUGCAAAUGAAAUAAAAAUAUACAGAGCCAUUUUCUAUCAUUUAUGUUAUUUUCUAAUAUUGCAAAAAAUAUUUCCAAACUCUCUCAUGAAAGGCACACUCUACUCAAUUCAAUAUGGUUCGGUUGUUAUUUUCGCAUAUUAUUAUUGUUAUUAAUUUGUGGGACUAAAUAAUUUCCUAACAGCGGAGUUUAUCAAUAAAAUUUCAGCCCUCGUUGAUGGUGUCGGAGGGAUUUUUUCCUUCCACGUGGCUUGAUGUGAUUGAUUGGAGUGCCUAAAAAAAUUCGUAUGCGUUUGCUCAAAUCUUUUGAUUUUCUAAAUUAGCGAUAAUUUUUUUUUACAUGAGUAAAGGUUUUUUUUCUCUCCUUGACGACGAAUAUAUUUAAAUUCAUCUUUUUUCUUCCUUGCCACCAGCUUCCCGGCGCCACUUCCACUACCAUCGACGAAGCUGCUCAGGUGGUUGCUGCCGUCUCCGUUUUCUCCCCUCCCUGUUGCUACGACCCUGUCGUGAGGAUGGAGAGGAUCCCCGCUGCCUGCGCCAUGAACUGGAGUAUCGAGCUUGAGAAAGGCAUUCGGUCAAGAAGACAAGGUACGUAUUAUUUGAAGUCGACCUCCACCUUGUUCUCUCCGGGCGGACGUGGAUGGCGACGUGAAUGGGAUUUGGCGUUUCGUUUUGUGCUUUGCUUCUUCUGUAUUAUUUUUUCUGCCUUUCCCUUGGUGUUUCUCUAUGGAUGCUUCACCCGACGAUGUGUUCCUGCUUGUCGAUCCUUCCUGAAAUAGUCUAGUGUCUGCGGUUUUUCACUGGUGACCUCAAUUGUCGCGAAGAGAGAACCGGUUGGAAUAUUCGCACUUCUUUUCUGUCGUUGAGAAUUCUAUCCGAAAUAAAAUCAGUAUGGUUUCAUGUUAUUAUCAUGCAAGCAGACAUACUUAUCUUAUUGGCCGGUUCUAGUUUCUACGAUCACAACAUAACAAAUCGUCAAUUCCCAACCUAAGUGUGGCUUUUCUGUGAGUGCAAGGAUGAUAUGGCCCACUCUUAUUCUUUGGACUGAAAACUUUUUAUUAUUUUCAGUCUGCUAGGAGGUUGACAAGUUGUUAUGUUCUUGUUCAAUCGGUUCAGGCCAUCCCGAAGAGGUGAUAGAGGAGAUUGGACGCAGACUUCUCUCGUGGAGUGAGGAAUCAUGUGCCUCUUUGUCUGCUUCAAAGAUGUACGAUUUGAUACCUGGGGAGGAGAGAAGUUUUGCAAACACGAUUCUUACACGGCUUGUGGAUGCUUUUCGUUCUGGAGAUAACCGCAUGAGAUCUUCCAUUUUGAAGGUUUUUCUGUUGGAGUUAAAGCAUAUUAAGGACAAGGGUAAGAGGUACAAUGGUAUUCUCUCGAAGCAAAGGUUACCUAACUACUUAGAACUGUUAAAAAGGCUGUGGUUGGUCUUUGAUACUGGUGAUGUCAAAGCCAGAGCGUUAUCAUUACGCCUUUUGGGUUGUUGGGCUCCUUUAACACAUGAUAAUGCUGAUGUGCAGAAUAUAGUCAUAUUGAGCUUGAGGUCAAAGCAUGUUUUGGAGGUGGGAUGAGUAUGCUCUUUUAGGAUUUCUUUUCCCUAACCAGAGAUUUUGAAGUGUACGUAGAACUUUAUAACAUUCAAUAUUAUUGGUUCUAAUAUAUUGUAUGCAAUGUUUCCAGAUGCAAGCAUCUCUAUUUGCUUGUGGGUGUCUAUCUCUAUUGUCAGAGGAUUUUGUUCGCAUUAUCCUUGGCAUAUUGGUAGACAUUUUCUACUCGGCGAAUGUUCCAUUAGAUGUAAAGUUUGCCACAGCUCGUGCUUUCGGUGAAAUUCAAUGCUCUUCACUGCUGGCCAGUAAAGCCUACAAGGUGCAGACCUUCAACAAUUUAUCAUGUGAUUUGAAAAUCUAGUGGACCAGUUUCCAUUCUUCAAUGGGUCUUGCAUGUCAGAAUAAUUAUUGAAAAAUAUUUACUGUUCCCAGUUGCCUGAACAUUUGCAUUUUGUAUCCUUCAAUGAGUCUGUUUCUCCUCAUAUGAAGCUGUUUUUGGCUUUGGUUUCCUCGAGUUGUAUAAUAAUAAGAUACCUUUGGAAAUUUGAACUCGGAUUCAUUCUUACGAUUAGCUUGUUAUAUGUCACUGUUUAUGAUGAUGCGAUGGAGAAGCUCUCAUGAAAAGCCUGUAUCACCAUUAUAUUUGUGCACAUGGAUAACUUCGAUCUUGAAAACCCAAUAAUGGGUCUUUAAGAAGUUGCAUACUCGGUAAAAAUUAUAACUGCAACUGAGGUAGUGAUACUCUUAUAAUCUUUGAAAGUGGAGGACGGCCACCAAUUACCAAAUGAAAGGGUUUAUUGGAAACUUUUCUCUCGGAAGAUCACCACUUCGUGAUGUGUUAAAGUGUAAACAAUCUUCCUUUAAAAUUAUUAUGGACCAAUGAUUCUGCACAACGUGUUAGAAACCUCACUAUUCAAGGACAAAUAAACUUAGAGAAAUGGGAAAAUUGUCAGGUGAAAAAUUAGAAUGAGUAGUGAUGGUGAUGGCCUUGGAGUGAUGUUGUUGGUGAUGUAUUAAUAUUUGCAAACUAAAUGGGAGGAUAGUUGAUCUCAACUUUCACUUCUAGGCCAAGUCAUAGAUGAAGGUUAGUCGAGUCGUAUGAAAAAUUAUCUGGAGAAGCAAUAGUUCGAUAUAAAAAGGGGUUUGCUGACGAACAAACAGCUUUAGUUUUUUUUCAGUCAUAAUUUUUACGAGGCUUAUAAGGAAGGUUUUAGGUAGACUCCAGCUGCGCUAUUUAGCAAUAUAUGCGGAUUUUACUCAAAUGCAAGCUGAAUAUGUUGGCAAAUUUUCUCUUACUUACUAAUGUAUUCCACAUUGGUAUCACUGGUAUUAUUUGGAAAUUAUAAUUAUCAUGUGAAUUCUAGUUUAACAUGAUGCUUCGUGUGAUUUCUGUUGUUUUUAGGCAGUGAGAGGGAUGCUAAUUUCAUAGAUUCAUUCUUAUUUUUUAUAAAUAUUUGUUGUGCUGCAUUUUAUCUAUGGUUCCUGUUUUUGGCUGUUUAUAAUAGAUAGUCAAUUCCAUAGAUCAAGAAUAUGUCUUAUCUUCCUUUAUUUAAAUAACCCAUGAUAUGCCCAUAUCUUGGCAGUGAUGGGAUAUAACUAGUUAGUUCCUUCAUUGUGUCAAUUUAUGUCAGAUUCGUCAUAUGCUGAUUGUUGAACAUUUUCUUUCUAGAGUGGUAAACAUCUGGUGCACGGUGCACACCUAGAAGGGUAUAGAAUUGAAUUGCUCUCCUCUCUGACAAAGCUUGCCAUCAAGUCUGUUAUUUUAAUUCCUGAGCAGGUACCUACUCUAUUUACCUUAGACAACUAUAAAGAAAACUUUCCGUUUUCUCCAGAUUAUCCUGCUAGCUAUUAUACUAUGAAGUGAUUUUGCUAUUCUAUUUUUCAUCAAAGGAAUUUUUAUGAGAACCAUUUAACUUGUGCUAAUAUUCAAGAAAAGAGAUGAAGUUUAUGCUCUGAAACAAUUUGGAGGAUGGGAACUAAAGGUGCAGAUCAAUCAAGGUAAAGCUCGUGAAGGUAUUGCAAGAAGAGCUUGAUGAGAGAUUCUUCAGAAUUACUCGCAAAGACUUCGAGGUUUCAUUUGAGGGAGUUCAAGUGGGCUAAUAACAUCCUUUUUCCAUGGGGACACCGUUGAUAUAGAAGGCAAUUAGGAUAGGAGAAAUGGUCUUGGUUCUCCAUUCUGGAUUGGGGCGGGUUCAUAUGGUAAUAGGGGAUGCUUUUGUAUCUUGUUUUCAACCACUUGGUGCUCUUAACCUGCCACAUUAAAAGAAAGACUGCUGUGCGAUAAUAUAAUUUUUAAUGCUUGCCAAUUUUUUCAACUGAAACAUUAUGUGAACAGAAUUCUUUUGUUGUUUUCCUUGAGUUCUUACCUUACCGAUGUAUGCAGGUAGAUUUUCUUUUGACAUUCAUGGUUGAAGGAUGUUCCUCUGUCACAAAAUCUAUGGCCCUUAAAUGCGUUCGUUUUCUGUGUUUGCGGGGAUUCUCUCAUUUUUUAGUCAAAGGGAAUAUUUUGUCAAUAUUAAUGGAUAGAGUAAAUGAUCCUGAACUUCCACUAGUUCAACAGUGUGGUGUCUUGAAAAUGCUGCGUCAGGUAAUGUAUAGUAAUUUGACAAUGAUUUUUCUCAAUACCUAAAUUUUAUAAGCACAGUCUGAUUCAUGACUGAUUGUAGCUUUUCAGUGAUCUACCAAAAGUAUGCCAUGAGGACACACCAGAGUUUAGAAGUCUGGUCAUUUGUGUUCAACAUGUAGCCCGAUCCCCUCACAUUUCAAAGAGAUACUUGUCCCUUGGUCUCCUUGUUGAUAUAGCCUGUAAUGCUAAAAGGGCAAGUAAGGGAAUUUGUUCCUGGACUGAGAAACUGUCUCUUGAGUGUGUUUCAUCUCAUUCUCAAAUAAGUAUGGACGAAUUUCCUGUUGUAAAUUGUGUUGAUUCGCUGGUGAAAGAUGUCUGUUUGCUCCUUCUUGAUGAUAUCGCUUCUGUGAUGAAGAAAUCAGAUAACGAGAUUGACAGGAAAACAAAAUUUGUUGAGGAUACAGGAUGGAGUGAUAAUGGUUAUGAUAUAAAACAAAAGUACAGAAUUCUCUCCAACUGCGUUCUACGGCUUGUACAAGGAUGCCCAGCAUCAGGUGUUGUGGUUCUAAGUAGAUUCAGGAGUUUGAUUGAGGAUAUGGUCUCUCAAAUGAAAAUCGAACUUGACAAGUCAAACCCAUCUUUUGAAUACCGAGAAUAUGCACAAGAUGUCCCAGAGACAAUGAUAUCAUGCAUUUGCUGUUUUCUUAUUCCUUGUCUUAGUAUACUUGAUGAAAAUGGUCAGACUGAUACUGAAGUAUGUGCAGUUGCCAAGCUUCUCAUGGAUAGUUUACAGAAGGUUGACUUUUGUAAUUAUGAUCCUCUUGAAAUGGUUUCCCUCCGCCUCUUUUCAUUAAUUUCUCGUUGCGAGAAGGCCAAUCGCUUGCAAAUGAUAUGCGCGUCAGAUGCUUAUUCAGACCCAAAUGUUUCCGAAGAUAACCUUUGGGUUGAACCUGAAAGAUUUGCCCUUCGCUUAGCAAAAAAGAUGAUGACGAGAAAGAAGUACUGGAUGGUUUAUAAAACUGGAAAAUAUUCAGCUACUGAAGGGCUUUGGUUUGCAGCUACUUAUGCAUUUAAGAAUUUAAUAGCCAGGGCAACAUCUGAUUCUUGUCGUUCCUGGUUAAAAUCUCUGAUGCUAUUUUCUGGCGCUGAAAGUGAAAUCAGGCUACUUCUGUUUCCAAUGCAUGGUGCAAAGCUAGUCAAUGAACUAUGCUUUGACAUUGACCGUGAGAGGCCUCAUGAGGGUGUUGAAGAAAGAAUGGGAAGCUGUGAGGAUGGAAUUGCUUUGAUGAAUGUGCAUAGGGAAAAGCUUUCUCGGGUUCAUAGAAGAAUUUGCUCUUCCCAGGAAAUCCUAUCAGUCGUCAGGACCCAGAAGGGUGGCUUCUGGUUCCAGAACUGGUUCCUGAACCUCAGAGGAAAGGGUCUUGAAAUCCUUAUGGAACUACUUGGGCACCUGGGUUCAUACUGUCAUGGCGAGCGAAACCUGAAUAAACAUGUCCCUUCAGGAAAAAAAUUUGGCAUCAGUUCUUCACUUUCCACGGAUGAUGUUGACUUUUUAUCAUCAAAGUUAUCUCAUAUUUCUCUUCAGUUUAAUAAGCUAGCGAGAGAAUAUGAUUUUAUGAUUUUAUCUUUCAUGGAUAUGGACAUCAAAAGUUCUGCAUUGAUAUCAAGAUUCGCACUUUAUUUUUCAUUGCUGGCAUAUUGCACUGGCUUUCCUCUAUACUUUUGUGGUUCAUCGGGUUCUCAUAAGACAACCAGCAAUUUAGGCUGUUUUGAGAACACUUCAGGCUUGCUUCUUCUUGAGGAUAUAUCUGGGAGACUGUUUGAUAUAGAUUGUGAGAAUGAUUUAGAUCUCAAGGGGCUUCUGCCAUUUUCCGGGUUCUUUAGGGGAUGCUCACAGUACAGAAAACAGACAUGUAGCAGCGGCAUAGAUCCUGGUACUCUAUCUAUUUGUAGGUUUGCCACUUGUGGCAUUCAUCACUUGCUGGAGGAGGCUAAAGAAGCUAAAACUAGAGAAGGAUUUUGCGACAUAUUCAGCAAGGGUCUACAUCUUUUGAAUACUACUCUUGUGAAGUGGAUGGGUUUACCUUCCCAGAUCCCACAAUAUUUCUUCAGACUAGGGUAUGUUUUCAGAAACAUUUCUAUUUAUCGUCAGAAAUAUACUUAAAAGUCAAAUGUAAUGCCCGAUUUAUGCCGGUUUAUGAUUUUCCCCCAUGGAACAUGGAGUCAUCGUCCUGAAAAGUUGGAGGUCAAAUGUUGAUAGCUCUUACGUGCAUCUCUUUUAGCAUCAAUCAUUUAUUCUUGGGUUGCCUUAUGUUCUAUAAUGUUCAUAUCAAAUAUAAAACAAAUGUGCUACUUUUUAAUUUAAUUUUAUUUCCCAGGGAUGCAAUUGGUGCUGAGCUCUUUCUCCUCAGCGACCAAGCCAGAAACUCAAAUGAGCUCUGCGUUUUGGUGGGAAAUCAGUUGUGCCUACAUCUGUGUAUCCAAACAAGAAAUAUUUCCCCUGUGUACCGUGGCAGGAUUUGUAAGAUACAUUGCAUCCUUGCUGUCAAGUCACCCCGACCUGUUCCUGAAGGGAGAAAGAAUAGUGAAGUGCUGACAGGGUUUCAACAGUGGAAAAUUGAGGAAACUAUCGAUACAUACGAGCUGCUAAUGCUGCAUAUGAGGAAUGGGGCAAAGAAGAGACAAAAUAUGCGAGCAGUUCCUACAGCUGAAGUUGACUUGGUGACCGCGUAUGUGUGUGUUGAGCCCAAUUCUUUGGGACAGGGUUUCUCGACAUGCUCGCUCGAUGUCUCAGGUUUUCCAGAGGGUGUAUAUCAGAUCAAAUGGCACAGCUGCUGUGUUGAUAAGAAUGAUUGCCUGUGGAGCUUGCCCGCUUUUAAUAAUGGGAUUCCUUUCAGCGUUACAAGUUCUUUUGCAACUUAAAUCCGGUACAGUUUUGAUCCGGCUCCAUUUUCCUGUUUAGCCACAUUGCUACGUCUGUCUGGUUGUGAAGAGAGCGCCUGGAGUCUGUGCGCUGGAUGUCAGUCUAGCAUUUGGAGGGGCUCUUAUCUGGGAACGCAGGUGUGUAAUCACAAUGGCCGAGGGCCUCUCAUGCAUCAUUUCUGUUGCCCGGAUGCUGAAAAUGGAUUCUUGCUGCUGCUUCGUCUUCUUCUUGGCUUCAUUUCGUAGAGGGUUUUCUCGCCUUUCUUGCUUUUUCUGAAGGGAUGCCAUGCGUCGGUCAUGGAGAGAGCGGUUGGAUAAAGCAGUCAGAAAAAAGAUGAAGGAAAUCGUGGCCGGCUUAUCUUUAUCUUUUACUCGAGAGACUGAAUGGGGCCCAUUUAAUCGUAGCUGGUCAUCAAACGGCCCUGGGCGACCGGCGGCAUGGGUGGGUGGGCCUGUGGGGCUCAUCGAGGAAAUCGGGUGGCACAAGGGCCCAUGUGAGAUCUCACUUGGCGCGGGAGGAGCUCACUACGUCGCCGGCUGAUCGUCGUCCUCCGCAGACGGCGGCACCGGCUCAGUAGAUCAUUAGAAAGAGAAAGAAGGGGAGAGGGAGAGGGGCUGCCAUGCCGGCGAUCGAGCUGAAGCUGUCCCGUUCCAACCGCAUCUAUCGUCCAUCUGUACGUCUGGCCAGUGGAGGGACGGUUUUGAGGGAGUGACGAGGUUUGCUUUGGGAAAAUUCCUGCCAAACCUUAUAUCUUCGAUUCUCCGGCGGUGUUCGCAGGAGGCGGUUGAGGGGAAGAUUGUGACGACGUCGUCGGCUCCGCUCUCCCACCAAGAUAUCCGCGUCUCCGUCUCUGGUGCAGUCAAUCUUCAGGCAAGUCACACGCGCCGCGUUGUACGUGUUUUCUGCUAAUUUUCUCGUACUCUGACCUUCGUGGGUUCUUCUUUUCUAUCGGCUGAAGGUCCGAGGAGGGUUGGCGGGCGUGGUCGAGUCCCUGUACAGCGUCGUCAAGCCAAUUUAUAUAGUGUAAGUCACCAGCCGUCCUUCCCACACCGAGUUCCUUCGACGUCCGUUUUCGUUAUUUCGUAUGCGGUGCGGUUUCUUUUCGGGACUAAUUUUUUUUAUAAACUAGGCACCUGGGUUAAGUGCCAAGAAUUGAAGUGGAUUGAUUGGACUAGGACCUAUUCUAGUAGGUAAAGAAUGUACAAUUGUCGGAGGGUUGGGCACUUGCUAUAAUUUUCACCACCCUUGUAUGGACGACAGAUAUGCUGCUAAGAGGACAUCCCUUGAAACUACGCUGAGCAUUUUAAAAUCCCUAUUUUUAUUUGAAGCUUAAUCAAUAAACUGCACGUUUCAAUCUCAAAUAGAGGCGCCACUGUGUGAACAACAAUGGGGCCUACCGCCUGAAAGUGACCUCUAUAAAAGACUGUUUUUCUUCCAACUGUUACCACUAUACAGCCAGGCACAUAUGGGUAGUGGUAGUGGAACUCCAAGUCCCAAAUUUAUUUUAAUUUAGAGUCUCUUUUGAUUAAUUUCCCUAGAGAUACCUCAUUUGAAUACUCUUGCUUAUUUUUCGUUUUUUGCGCCCUAUUUUGUUCCGAUAUUUUCCAGUAUCGAGCCUCUCACUUCCGGGAAAUUUGCCUUUUCUUUUUGAAUUCAGGAAGAAUAGUGUCGUGAUUAGCUCAUCUGGAAAACUUGCUCCAGGAACUAAUGAGGUGUUGUAUCAACUUUACUGUGCCUUUUCUUUAUAUCUCAUGCUUCAUACUUCGCUUUCAUUGUUUCAUAUUGUCAGUAAUCUAGAAUGAAUACUGCCUUCAGUAACAGUUACCUCAAAUGACGAAUCCAAUGGGUAGUGAUAUAGAGUUAAGAAAUAUAGCCUUAUCAGGCAUAAAUUCGUAACAUUCUUGAUCGAAGUGUACAAUAGAAAGUAAACGACAAUGAUUGUAAUCUAGAACUGAUGUAGGAAUACUAAGACUAUGUCUGAGCAUUGUUACAGACAUCAGGUGAUGUCGCAACAAGUCAAGUCUGUAAUAUUUUUUGUUUAUGUUAUAUGUACUUGGUCUUCUCUUAAGUUACAGAAAUGUAUCUAAUCUCUUACAUGACAUGUCAUACCGUAUGGUUGCAUAUUUUGGAUCUGUUCCUUUUAGACAGUCCUAGUCUUUUGAAUUAAGCUGGGUGGAACUCAUGUUCAUGGGACCAUGGGUGCGUGGAAGGGCCUUUUUAAUGGCAUCUUUGAAGUGACCUAGUUCAAUCUCUACCUGCUGACGUCGGCCAAAAUGCUGGGCAGUGGUAUUUCAGUCAAAAGACUUCGCUCCAGCUUUCAGGAAUUCAUCACUAUCCAGUAAACAAAACACAUCCAGCCUGUACCAUGUUAAUUAUUGCCAGUUGUGGCUGUUUCAUCCUUUCCCUAUUCUAAUUCAAAGAAUUAGGUUUAUUUCCUGCAGAAUCUGGUUGUCUUCUUCUGAUCUCGUUCCAUGUCCGAGUUAUAUUUUAAUUGACGUUAUUUUUCUCUAUGGUUUUCUGAUGUGGUACAAGAUUUGAGGCAUCAGUGCCCACAGUUAGGAGCAUCUCCUAUGUCCAUAAUGAUGCCUUCUAUACUGAGAAGUAAGAAAGUGGUACGGGAAAAACCCCCCACAAAUUGUUUCGCGGAAGCAGCAUCUGAGGCUUACACAUAUACAAUAUAUUCUACUAUUUAAAGUAGACUGCGAAUUUCAUGUCUUGAAUUGUUGGGGAACAAUGCUGAUGCUGGAAAUCGUACGAAGCACAACUCUAAUGGUGUUUUAGGCGUGUUCCUAGACUAGAAUUUCGUUUCGUGUAUGAUUCAUACUUUGAUUUUAAAAAAAAGCUCACCCUGAAAUUUGUCCUGGCGUUAGUUGUUCCAAUUCUAAGCGACCCUAAGGAUUUUGAAAUCAAAUUGUUUUAUUUCACCACAAGCAUCCUGCAUUAUUUCUGGGUCAGAAAUCAAGGUUGAUAACAAUGCAGGAAAGUUGUAGGGUUCAAAGACACAAGUAUGGAUCAUAGUUUGUUGUGUGUGAAAUCAUUGAGAUACGUGAAAAAUAUGCAUUAAAACGUAUCACUGCCUUAUACAGUCAUGGCUUUGCCUUUUUAUACACGAUAAAAUUGGAUAGCAUUAAUAUUAAUUAACUAUUGGUUGUUGUUAGAAAUUGAGAGGUUAAAAACCAAUUUAUAUCAUUAGCAAAAAUAGUGCCAGCUCUCAUCUAAUCCAGAAAGCCAAAAAUGGAAAUAUCUCAUUCAAUAACUUUUCAGAGAAGUUAGAAAACAAACCUAAUUCUGAACUUACAGAGAAUCUCCCGUCAUAGGUUUUUUUCGUGUCUUCUCUGAUGGGAUGUCUUCACUGGGGUAUUCUUGUUUAUUUUGCUGUUUAAAUUGUGGUGUAUUACAGAUUGGUAGGCGAUCUUGUAAUUUGGUUCUUUUAUCUAUUUAUGGAUGAAUAUUUUGAUUUACUACGUUCUGAACGAAGCAUCAUUCAAAGAAUUUUCUAAAAAAUAUUUUGAAAGGAAACUUUUUUCGCUUUAUUUUACGGUAAAAAACUAUCUAAUUUCCUUUUGAAAUUUUUUACGUCUCAUUCACUGAUAAAUAUAUGACCUAUGCAAUAGUUGAACAGUAUUUCCAAAAAUUCAAUUUUUUAUGUAUUAGACUUGGAUUUGAGUUUAUCUUUUUAUUUCAUCUUUACUUAAAUUUUAAAUCAUUCUUUAAAUUGGGUUUUAUCUUUCUUUCUCAAUGUUUUGUUUUAAUGUUACAAUGAGUAUUUUAUUUUGUUUAUAUGGCAUACCUUAGGACAUUUUUUGACGCGUUCUGCUCAAUGUCGUCAUAAUCAUUAUCGUUGCCAUCCUCCAGACCUCAGUUAAUUGGGUGGUGGACAGUCGUGGACAGUCAUCCUGUUUCUCCUAUCCACCCUCUCACGUGGUUCAUCUAUCGUCAUCACACCUAAGAUGAUUUAUCUCGUUUGCUUGUAUCUAAGUCUUUUACUCUUUUUCUUCCCCAUUGAGAACCCUCAGCAAGAUCGUAAUAGAUCUUCAUAAUUCUGUCACUUUAUAGAUAUUUCCGAACCAUCUCAGAUGGGUUUCGGGGACUUUCUGUUUUUAUGGCAUUUGCAGUGUCUUCCUGAGUACAUAGCAGAAAAUUCCCUGAAGGUUUUCUAAGACUUUAUAUCUUUCAUAUCUUCCAGAUACCAUUUUCCAUUGCUUUGAGUAAAGAUGAUGCGAAUGACGUUCAAAGAUUUUAUGAUACAUUUCAUGGAGGAAAUAUCAGUAUCCAGGUAAAUAUUUUCAUCUGAAAGCUCUGUUAUUUCUGAUUCAUUUUUCUGUGAAACGUUGGUUUAUUCUUUCAAUUCAUCAUUCUGGGAACUGUGGGAUUUCUAAUUGUUUUUUUGAUAGUAUUUAAUAACUGCAGAUAUAAGUAGGGGUUACCUUCACAAAUCUUUAUCUGCAACUAAGGAAUUCAUUGUUCAAGGCGAUAAAGGUAAUAGCAUAUCAAGCACUUCUUAAAAAUAUCAUUAUUUCUUUACAUCAUGAAAUGCAAUUUGCUUUUCCAUCAUUUGCAUUUCUGUUCCAGGUUCUGUAUUGGACCUGCCUGUUGCAGCUGACAUUGUGAGCUUUUAUGUUACGGAAGACACUCAGAAACACCAAUUAAUCCCCGAGCUUACGAUUGGUACACAAACAAUGUUUUCUUAAAUUUAGGCCUUAUUUCACUCUUGAAUAGAUCUGUUAAUUCCUGAGUUGAUUGCUGACUGAGAUGCAAUAGUUUGGUGAUUAUAUCUUUAUUUUAUUUACUGCCUUUAGAGUAAUUGGUACUGCGGGUUAUCUAAUGCUUAAGUUAAAUAAAUGAACGACCGAUAUGACAUGCACAUUAUGUGUAACAUGCCAUGAUUCAAUAAGUGGCAUAGUCCAUCCAAAAUGGUAGAGCUUCUAGCUUUUGGCUGGUCCCUUUUCGAGAGAAGUAAUUUGCUUUUAUUUAUUUUUUAUAUUUCACAAUUUGUUUCAACUAUUGUGGUUCUUAGGAUUGUCUGGCUGUUCAUGUUGCUUAUUGGUCUAACCCCAUGGAAAGGGUUGCAUUCUUACCCAUCGUGGGGGAAUGAACAAAAUUUUAGCACUUGCAUUGCUUUUUCAGAUAAUGCGUUUUGACAGUAAAGUAGUUUCUUAAAUAAGGUAGUUUCCUAUGAUUCAUGCAGAUAGCGACCAAUUGUUUGAUAGCUAUAUUUAAUAACGUUCCUUUUUGUUUAGUUUCCGUGUUGUCAGCUUUGUUUCCUUUGUACUCAUCUUAAAUUGUUUUCAAGCAGGGCGUUUCCGAGUAACAGGGAAGAUACCAACGGCGUGUUCAAUUUCAAAUCCUCUUAGUGGGGAACUAAUUGUUGAAUCAUCUGCUGUACCCAUUAGCUCCAUAGAUAUACAGUUACUUCGUGUUGAGUCUAUUCUUGCUGGAGAAAGAAUUGUGACAGAUACAUCUGCUGUUCAGACCACACAGGCACGUAUCCACUAUGUUCGUCUCUGUGAUCAUUUAGUACAGCUAACAUGCGUAUUCGUAUGAUACUGCAGAUUGCUGACGGAGAUGUAUGUCGAUCGCUUGUUCUUCCAAUUUAUGUCAUUCUACCCCGUCUCUUAGUGUGUCCUACAUUGUUUGCUGGGUAAGUGCUAUUAUCUAAAUAAUUCUACGUAAUGUUCUUGCGAAAAGUAGUGGUCUGUGAUAGCAUUUUCUUUUUAAUGCUUGUAUUUUUUCUUCAAUGCUUUGGUUUUAACCAUUAUUAUUUUUAAAAAGUUUGAUUACGAUCGUUCAUGCAUUUCAUGGAUUUUAUGGGGAAUUUAUAAAAGCAAUUAGACAACUGAGUAGACUGAAUAAAGAUUCUAUCUGGAGGCUUCUUGGGAUCAAUAACUGCCUUCUGAAAAGCAGCAUGGAGAAAUCUUCUACUUAUUGCCUACUAGUUGGUGUGUCCAACUAUUAUUCUAGUUUUUUAAUGUCUGCAUUCGAGAUAGUGCUAGGCAUAGGCCUAUUAAGGCGAACAAAAUCAGACAAGCUGUUGUGACUUGUUGACCUACUUGGUGCAAUAUCCCAUGAUAUGUGGCCGAGAAUAUCCUGUCAUCUGAUUUCUAUGAGCAUAGACUCAUCUGGGCAUUUCAUGGUUAGAAUGAUGCCAAUCUGGUACUGUAUCGGUAUUUUUCAUUCACAACGAGUUGUUACUUUUUUUAACCAGAAACUGGAAAACAGUCAUGUGAAUUGAGAAACGGGGAUAAAUAAUGCGUUAACAGAUGCUUAAGAGGGGGAGAAACAAGCAGCACUUCUCAGUAGCUAGAUGAUCUGUACUUAACAGGUACCAUCGAAUGUGAAGUAUUUGUCUUCAGGGAAUUUGCAAAAGACAGAAACUUAGGAAGGGUAGUGUAAGGGUGUCUGAAACAAAACGUUUUUAAGAGAUUAUCAGUACAUUAGGGAAAUGACUGAAGAUGAUGAUUGCGCCUGUGCAGAUAUUUCCUUCGAUUUUGCGUAGUAAUGCCCAUUGUUUCUAUAUUACCAUCUCUGUUUAUUUUUCAUGCCGUUUUCUUUGUGUUGUGUAAUCAUGCUUAAUUUCUUUUCGAGAUAUUAUGUCGUCAUACCCCAAAUAUUUUAUUCGGUUAGAAUAUGAUAAACUCCCUUGAAAAUGAUGAUUAUUAUAUCAUUCCUUAAAAAAAGCUAAAUACUCCAGAAUGGCAAAACUCAAGGAAGUGAGUAAAUUACUUCGUUUAAGGCAAAACAUUAGUUUAUUAAGUAUAGAAUUAUGUCUUAGGAGCGUCAUAUCUUAGUUGAUAUGUGGGUCUCGAUGCCGUUCAAAUCAGCCACAGCCUUUAAGGUUGACCGGCACUCAUACUUCAAGGGUUUUAUGCUCUUGUAUUUACAUGAUGUGUGUACCUUCUUUUUGAUGGUUGCUUUAACUUAAAUGCAGGCCCUUCUCAGUUGAGUUUCAGGUUUCCAUCGUCAUCACCUUCCAAUCAGAGUUGUCCAAACUCUACCCUAAGUCUGACCUCAGAACUCCUAGGCCUUGGGUAUGCAUCAUUUAACUUUUUUUCUUUAUGCUGACAAAUUUCCCUUUAUAACCUUGCACUAUUGUGUUCAGUUGGCGAUGCAGACCCUUCCUCUCAGGAUCUACUGACUCACUAGACAGGGAAUAUACAUGUAGGCCCUGUCUGAACCCUGGUGAUAUUAAAAAAAAGAUGAAUCAUUAGAGGCCAUUUUCUUAAGCUGUUAGUUGCUGUAGCAUUAAUUUUUUUGUACUUCAAGUUUGUAUUCAUUCCUAGUUUGUUUUUACCGUGUGAAGCUCAUUGUGUGAUACAAACGUAUUACUUUGAUAAUAAAUAAUAAGCAAAAGCAGGUGGUUGUAUAAUUGAGAUGCCAAUGCUCGACUGAUUCCAUUUUGCUUUGAAUUGACCCGCUUGUUGUUUUCUGAAUUUGAUAUUGUAGAUGGUCUUGUGUUCCACAUACUACUGUCGUAGUCUGUUUGGCAAAAUUCAGAUUUGGCUAUCUAGUGAUGAAUUGUCUUUGAGUUAUCUUACAUUGGAUAGAAUGAAUAAAUUUCAUAUUUAUAGCUGAAUUGAUAGUAGAGAGGGGAGAAGACGGGAGGGGGGGGGGGGGUUCGUUUUGGGAAUUGAAAAUAUUGUCCUGUUUGUAAGGACGCUCAGCCUAGUGCAUAUUUUGUGGAGUCUCUGUGGCCAAUCUUGUGCUUGUCAUGCGCCAACAGGCCCGACUUCUUCAAUCUCCUCCUUGACCCUGUUGGAACCUGUCCAUAGACCCCAUUGGCCUGCUGUCAUGGUUUUGACUUUCAUGGCUAAAUAAAAGAGAGUCCAGAACAGCUCUCUAUAGUGUCCGUGGAUCAGGUUCUCUAGUGUCUGACCCGCUUAUUUAACUGAUUUCAGCAACUGUAAGUCAACAGCUCCAGUGCGUGGAUCUAGUGGUCGGUGCUCAUUAAGUGGGAUGACAUGGAAUUUUGAAAAAAACCAUAUUCAGCCCCGUGGCUUUCCUCCCUAGUAUAGUAAACAGAUUAUCGUUUAUUGCACAAAUAAUUGAAAUACUUCAAUUUGUAGGCUAUAGGAUUAGGUCAAUUUAAUCUCCCUCUACAUUCUUUUGACCAUCCUUGGGUCGCAGAAUUUAUAUGAGCCACCCUUUUUAGAAUACCCAACAGUCGUAGGGGUGGGUAUAGAUCAGAACGUGUGAAACUGUAGAGGAUAUUUGGGACAAAUUGGACAAAUUUGGGACAAUUUCGUGCCUUUUUACCUUGGCCAUUAAGAUUAUCAGUGCUCUAAAAGACUUUGAUACAACAUCCAGAAGUCAAAUUAUAAUAGGAAAAAUCUUGAGAGGGUUGCAAUCCAAAUGUAACACAAAAGUGACUUCCAAUGAAGAAGCUAAGGAUUGAAUGAAAUUAUCCAUUGAUGAAUUGCUUUGAUUAGUGAUGACUUAUGCACUAUUCUAAUCAAUUAAUUGGUUGGUCGGUUGAUUGACUGCUUAUUGACCAUCUUUCAGAUUACAAACAGCUUUGAAGAGAUAAUUCCCUAGCAUUUUAAGGUUUUGAUUUUGUUGGCUAGUCUAGUUGAAACAGAAAUAAUCAAGAUAAAAUUAUUUCACUGAUAAAAAGAUGUUAGGAAUUUUUAAAACACAAACCAGUUGGAAAGGAAUUGAGAAAAUUUGGAUAAAAAACUCAAUAUGACAUCACAGUUUUCUAAUAUUGCAUAUUAUUAGAGAGAACGUAAGUCAUAUGAAGCCACGUGUAGUAAUAGCGAUGUGUGCUGAAGACAAUACUGAUUUGUAAGUUGAACACAAGACAUUCAAAUAUGCUUCACAAAAUUGUAAUCUAGGAUUAUUUAUAUGAUUUGAAUGAUACAUUGAGCUAAUUGUUAGGUGUACACAAUUGAUAAUAGAAAAUAAAAAUCUAUGUAUAAGACCUUGUGAUCGAAGUGUUUACAUAUUUGUUUGAACGAAUGAUUUUCAAUGUCAAUCCUAUUUUCUUGUUUGAAGGUUUUGUUACUUGUGUUCUAAAAUUUAUUCUACUCAUUAUGAUAAUGAAGGGGGAAAUCAAAAUUAAUUAUUACUUUAAAUUGCACUAAACUUUGCAUUAUACGUGAUUUCUAGUAUACAAAACUCCAUAUCAAAAUGGAUCAGUACAAUAGUAAAUUUAUAUUUAAGUCACAUUUCUCAAAUAAUGCAUUAUGAAAAUGAUUUGCUGAAGUAUUUUUUGAUCAAAACCAUUACUACUUUUGCAUGUUCUCAUGAAACCCAACUUCAAGAAAACUCUCUUGUUUGUUCCCUUGUAGGCUAGAUUAUAUGCCAAUAGGGAGGGACUGAAAUAGUUUACUAUUAUGUUUUACCUCUUUUUCGUGAUUUUAAAUAGUUUUUGUCAAUGUACCAUAUAAUAGGCCAACAUACUAUAUUAUGAGUUGACAUUUAGGUAUUGGAAUGAGAAUAGUUGGAUAGAUUUGGUUGACAUUGCAUUGACACAUUAAGUUUGUUGGUUUGUUGGCCUAUGUCACUUGUUGAGGGUCGAAACCAAAAGUUUGGCAUUUCUUUGGCCUAGUUCAAUUGUCCAACAUUAAUGUUGUGUUUAUAGAGGUUAGGCCAAUUUUUAGCCUAUCUCAACCUUGGAGGGUUCCAACCUUUGGUUUUUGUUAUUCUCCUUCAAAAGAAUACUGUUGAGUUUCACAAGAUCAACAAGUUGUUUUUAUAGUACAUCACCCCAUUGUAGACACCGAGGUACUAAUUUAACUUUUUUACUCAUUAUAAAUGCUCCCUUGUAGUGCCUUCAUGUAGGAAACGAAUUUUAAAAAACUUACAUUAAUGUUUUAAUCAUGGAAUGGUGGCCUCCUUACUGUAGUGGGUAAUAAGUGUUGUAGAAAAUUAUCUCAUGCAGAUUUCAAGAUGUGUGGGAAGAGAUGAUAGAUUAUUAAUGGGUUGUUUGAAAGUUCUUCCAAAGUGCUAUUUAUAAAGCUUAAAAUCUUGACUGUUGGAGAUCAAUUUACUAAUCUAUGAUCAGUCAAAUAUUGCCUUGAUCAGCACUUGUAUUGACUUGCUGUCAAAUUGUAUGGGUAAAUAACUAUUAGGUUGUUGAUUUGAAUACAUUUUGACCAAAUUAAUUUGUAGACAUGUGGAUCAAAUAUUUGCUUAUAUAUCUUUGAUACUCUGAUAUGUUAAGAUAUGUUGCCAUUAUUAGAAGUCUUCUGCCAUAUCUUAGAUCAUUUGACAUACACAACAUCUAAGAUUGGACAACAAAAAUCCCUAUUUUUUCUCUUGAUAUUUGGUGUGAUUUUGCUAGGUUGACAUAAUUCCUCUCUCAAGACUGUGAUGGAUUAAUGCACCUUUUGUGGGAUGAUCUUUUUUCCUUUCAUGAACUUGGUUGAGACAUGAGUCAACACACUUUCUCUCUCCAUGAGUCUUGAUUUACAUUCCAUUCUUGCCUCUAAAACACAAGGUUUAUAGUAAAUGAGACUUUCAAAGCCUCUCAUUAUGUCUCCCAUACUAAAAUUUUAUCUCAUAAGUGAAAGUCAUCGGCUAGAGGUUAUCAUAAAGUUCGUAGCUCUAGACUGUGCCAUGGUAAUUUUGAUACUCAUUCUAUCAUUUAAUCUUCGUAAAUGCUUAGGCUGACAACUCCAAGUUCACUGUCAUUCAUAUUCCCACAAUCAAAAUCAUGAUCUCAUCUCCUUCCUCGCUUGAAUCCAUGGUAUGAUGACCCUCUCUAUCCUACCACACUCCACUUUCUCCAAAAGAGGUUCAACCUCACCACUUCGUUUUUAAUCUCCUCCUUACACUACCAUCCUUUUUGAUGGCUACUGCCACCAUUUCCAAAUACUGCUGAUCCACCUCUUGAUUCACCAAGUUUAAUAUGAUGAAACUGUUCUUUAGGCCCAACAAUAGUACUCCUAUGGCCAAUUAGAUUCCAUCUUAGCCCAAUAUCAGUCCAUUGUCAAGGCACAAGAGACAAGGCAAGAGAAGCAAAACAACUCUAGAUCAUUGUAUUGACCUUCAUUGUAGGAGAAUGGUUCAAGGACCUCUAUUAUAAUAGGAAGGUCCUUAGAGACAAGACAAUUGACCUCUAUUUCGUUAACUCUCAAGGAACUCACAUGUCUUGUUAUUUUUAAUGCUCUAAAGUAGACUAAAUUAGUCACCAUUCAUUUGAGGAUCUAUCCUAACCUUACUUUCAAUCUUUACUCAAAAUUAAAUCCUCAUCAUCCAAGGUUUUUACGUUUGUCAAGGACAUUACCAUCAAAUUAUUUGAGAAAUUUGAAAACCAAAUUCUUUGUAUCUCUUAUCGAGGCCACUUACACAUUGACGAUGAAUAGUUUCAACAAAUCCUUACCUCUUUUAUUGCACUGUACUCCACCAUUAUAGUAACUCCAAACUUGUAAUUAUUGAUUAAAUCAUCUUUUGAUAUCACAACCACUAGUCUAUAGAAGUGAAACUUUUGAUUGCCUACUUUAGAAGAUUGUUUUCCUUCUUUGCUCAACAUUGAAGUUAACUUCAAAUCCAUUUCAUUGAGAAAUAUGAGGAACAUCAUUUGGUAACCCAAUAUGAGGAACAUUACUCUCACUAUUCUAUAGAAAGGAGGUAGAGUCUAAAUCUGUGAGUAACAUAAUUCAUUUUAAUGAGAGUGUCAAUUUAUGAGUUGUGAGGAUAAGAAAGUAGGUAUCCCUUCAAACUUAAUAUCUCAUAAAGUAGGUGAUCCUUCUAGUGGUGAAGUCGGAGACAAAUUUGAGUCAAGUUCUUAUAAAAACUUGAGUAAGCACUGCAAAUAAAAAGUUUCAAAUGAUGAUAUUAAAGUUAAAUUUCACCAUAAAAAUUAAAAUCACACCAAGAACAACUAAAAAUCAAAACAAAUCCCAAUUUAUCUAUUAGAAAAGUUGCCCUACUAAUAGUGAAAUGUGAACUAAUUUUGAUUUUAAUUGGUAUAAAUGUAAAAAAAAUUAAAGUAAAUUUGGUUGAUCAUAAUGAGGUUAAAUUUCAUUAAAAAAUUAAAAUUAUUUGAGAAACCACCACAAAAAAUGAAGGAAAUGCAUGAAUUAUCUCUACUUAUCACUUAAGAAUACACUAGUGUUUAGAAAGUGGAAAUUGAAGAUGAAAUUGAUAGAAAAAGUGAUUAAAAUGUUGGAUGGAAAUUGACAAUGAAGUUGAUUGAAAAAGUGGUAAAGAAAAUAAAUUGAAAGACUUAAUGCCUCCAUCUGCCUAUCACCUAGAUGGCAAAAUAAACCAUAAUGGAAGUACAACAAAUCAAGACAAUAAUGAAAUUUAUAAAUACUCAUGAGAGUUACAGCUAUGUUAGAAUAAGGCAAUGAAGUAAGAGGUUAACAUUCUACAGAACACCAUCUAUUAACACAUCAACAUUUAUACUUUAUUCUUGAUGAUGAUAAAGUAGAGCGAAUUUCUGUUUUCAUUGCAAUUUUUGAUAUUUUCUUAUAUGACAAACUAAAGGGAGUGCUGAGGAAAAUGUUGAGAUGGCCAUUGAUUGUGGUGUUUUUGUCAAUUAUUAUGAUGCUUUCCUAAUUAUUAAAAAAUCACUUCAUAAGUUCUCUGAAAAAUCUGAGAAAAAUAUAUAUUCAAAAUUCUAACUUCAUCAUUACUUUUUAAUCAAUUUUAAAAUAUUUCUCAUGGCUAUAACCCUGGUAUAACCAGGUUCAUGCAUGGAUUAAAAAUCAGAAUUAUUUUCAUAUCACAUAAACCACAAAAACUAAAUAAUAACCUAUCAAACCAUUACGUAAUUAAAUAUAAAAUAAUUUCACAAUUCCUAAAAAUGUACUAACACAUUUUAAUUUUGAUAGUUAAUAUUUUAUAUUGGUUCAUGUCACAAUUAAUUCAAUUUUACCAUAUUUAUUAUAUUAAAACUAGGACGUUAUUUUACAUGACAGUUUAUGUUAUUUCUUCAGGAGAUCAUAUAUGAGUAUUAAACAAUAAGAAAUCAAAUAAUUGCUCAAAGACUUAAAUUUUUAAAGAUUAUCCCAAUGAUAAUAUGUUGGAUAAAUAUAUAGACAAAUUGUCAAAUGAAAUCCAAUGAUUUGGAGGCAACAUGGAUGCUUACUUAUUCUCUAUCAAGCUUGGAAAGUCUGAUUCAAAUAUGAAUUUAAAUUGCUGUUAUAGUAGGAAAGGUAGCUAUGGGCCACUUUAAUGGUCACGUAAUGAUCUGAAAAAUGCCACAUCGUGUGAUUAUUUUUAAAAUUGUAAAAAUACACAUUAAUUUUAUAAAAUGGAUAUCAAUUCAAUGUCUUAGAUUCUUACUAAGUUAUUUUCAUUGCACUUCCUUUCCAAUAAGUUUUUUAAUGAUAUGUCAUUAAUUUAUGCUAGUGAUUUGGUAGAAAAAAGUCAAAUCUUUAAGCCUAAUACAUAAAGUGAUGUCUAUUUUAACCUUAAGUGAAUACUUAAUUAAGUUUAUGCUCAUAAAAUAGUAGGUAAUUUUUCUUAAUAAUGAGAAAUCAAUUUCAUCAAUUAAAUUACUAUACCACGUAUUAAACUAUAAAAUACCUUUUCAUAUAAAUAGUCAUUUUCAAAAUAGGUUAAAUUUUCUAAAGCCUUUAGGUUGCCUACUAAACACAUGCUAAAUGGACAUGGGGCACUGUAGUUGAACAAACUCACAUGUGGAUGCAUGAGUGCUUAUGGUUGGUGCAUCUAAAGUAGGUAAAGUGGUUGCAUUGUGAAAUUGCUUGGCUCUAUUUGCCUUUUGUCUCUUCAAGUCCUAAUGGGCCUGCUCCCUCUAUGGGUUUCCUUUCCAACGUUGGUUACAGAAAAAAUCCAAUCUAAAAAAGUCCUAUUGCCUCUACAGAGGAAAUAUGAGAAUUUUUUCAUGUGUUCAUUUAUAAAGGGGGAUUUUGUUUUGAAGAAAAGGGUAUUACUAGGUAGGGGAAAGAACUGUGCAACUAAGGAGAGGUGAGGGGGACCCAAAAUGGAACACACAACAUCUAUAUUUAUAACACAUGUUGUGAUAGGUAGAGUCAUUGGACUAAAGUAGUAUGCUCCAAGCAAGGUGCCAUGAUGAUUUGUGUGUAUAGUUUUUGUGCUAAUAUAACACCUCAAUGGUACUAUUUUUUGCUUUCAAGUUCUUUAAAAAAUAUUUAUAUUUUAUUUGUAUCAAAAUGAUUAUUUAAUUCUAAUGAAUGUUUAUAGAUUACUAGUAUGUCUGUUCAAUUUGGCUUUAGACAUGCCAAACCCAUUAUCAUCACAUAUGAAUGUUAUUCCUUAAAGGUUUCCUUAUUCAUGUAAAUAAAAAAGACAUGAAGGAAUAAAGGGGCGUAUCAUAUUGGAUAAUUAUGUUGUAUUUUUUAAUUUUAGAAAGAUAAUAUUGACAAGGUAGAAGGAAACAAAGAUUGAAUGGGAAUUACAUGUAUAAAUUAAGCCUUUCUAAUAAGCUUAAAUGCCUAUCUACUGACUAUUAUCUACUUCCUUCUUAAUAACAUUUUACCCCACCAAAAAAGAAGAAUAUACAUUGAAAUUUAGAGCUUAGUACAUAAUUGUGGAGAUAAGAAUUUGAGAUUGUACAAUAAUUGAGAAACUAUUCACCCUAGCCAAAAAUCAACAUGUCUUUGAGCAUUCAAAGAGCUUCUCCAUGAGGAGAGGAUCAAUAAAUGAUAUGCAAUGAAUCAAUCUCUUCAUUGAAAUCUAGUUAUUUGCCAACAUUUGUUAUUUCUAACAAAAUCAUUUAUAUUCUUUUAUGAAUGAAUUUUUGAUAAGCAUGACCAAUCAACAAGUGAACUUAAUCUGUUAAAAUGGGCAAACAAACAAUAAUGACUUAGUAAAUUCAAGGACAAGAUGUCCUUAGUAGAAUAUGUGAUGUAGCGUGAUUGAAGUCACUACGAACCAACACGUCGAGUUGGACAAACAAAGUGCUAGAGAGUCAUGACUUUGAAGAUGUGCAUCAUGCCCUAGAUUAAGCUACUUGCUGCCCAUGUUGCUAUAGCAAGAGUCGUGAAAUAGAAGAGUUUAUUUACUAUUGAAUUAAUUUAGCCUCAGAGGCCUAUAAAUCAGCCAAUUUUUUUUGAGACACCGAAUUAGAUAUUGAGAUCAAGGAUUAGUUCCUUACUUGAUUGUGUGAACAUGUUGCCCUAGCUUGGGUUGGUUGGAGGGUCCCACCACUCCCAAUCUAGAGCACCUUACCCACUCCCUUCUCUUCCUUAUAGCCACUGUCACUUUGUCAUUGUCUAUCACCAUCCCUGCCAUCGAUGCCUUUUUUCCCCUAUCACAUUGUCCUCACCCCAUUCCCCUAUAACACCAUUGUUACCUCUUCUUUCCCCUCUCACUACCUCACAAAUACCCUUCCCCAAUUAUGGCUGGAGUUUUAAUCCCUCAAUCAUUGGCCUAACGCCUUCUGACCCACUUCUGACAGUCCACUACAUCUAUCCUCAUCUUGAGCCCACUAUGAUCUGAACCAUCUAGCACGAGCCAUUUGAGCCUUUGGCUCGACCCAAUUAGGCCAUUUGAUCAGAGGUGACCUGAGUCACUCGAUAUGAGUGAUUUUGCCACUUGACUCAAGUCACCUGAUUUAACCAUCAAACUUGCCUAGUUUGAGCUACCCCGUCCAUCAAUCUGAUUUAGUUAGCAGUCAGUAGUCAACUAGAGAUAGUCAAUAGUCAAGGGUCACAAUGAAUGGGUCAACAUGCAAUUUUAUUUUCAAGGGUCAAGUAUAUUUUUUACACUUUCUCCAUUUCAUUUGUUCAUUUAAUAUACUUUCUUGCCACACUAGUGUGAGAAGUCAUUGGAUAGUCACUAAUAUAUAUCUAGUUGAUCAUUACCUAAUGGUAUAAAAUAUUUUUUGAUCUAUUAAGUAAAGAAAUCUCCAAUUUUAAGUGGUUUCCUUAACUUACUCAAUCUGAUCUUUUUUGUCCUCCAUUAAUAUGUCAAGGAGAUUGAAAAUCUGUAAAAUUCUCAUUAAUAUGAUCAAGUGAUGAAUUAGGAAAUAAAAAGGGAGUAAACAUAAGAAGAGAAAUUUAAAUAAAUCAGACUUGACCAAUUAAACCCAUCUCUCAUUCCUAGUCUAUGAGUGGCUUUAAAUCUACUAGUUUCAGAAGAAAAGUUAUCUUCUUGCCUAUAAUAUUAAUAUAAUGUUGUGCUCUCCCAAUCUGAUUAUGAUGAGAAUUUUAAAGGAUUCUAAAUUAUCUAAUAUCAAUAUGAUGGUGGUUUUCUUGUUUCAGCCUCUUGUUUUCACCAAUCUUGUGCUGGGCAUUUGGACUCUAUUUGAUGGCUAGGCAGCCCAAUGAGCUCACAUUGCAUGUCCAUCCUAAGUCAUAGCUGUCACCACCACUACCCAUUUGGGCUCUAGUUGGUGUGCUCCCUCUAUAGGCUUCUUUUCUGAGCGUCUUUACAGGAAUAUAGGGGAGUAUCAUAUUGGAUAAUUAUGUUGUAUUUUCUAAUUUUAGAAAGAUAAUAUUGACAAGGCAGAAGUGAACAAAGAUUGAAUAAGAAUUACAUGCAUAAAUUAAGCCUUUCUGAUAAACUUAAAUGCCUAUCAAUUGACUAUUCUCUACUUCCUUCUUACUAACAUUUUGCCCCACCAAAAAAAAAGAAUAUACAUUGAACUUUAAAGCUUAGUGCACAAUUGUGGAGAUAAGAAUCUGUGAUUGUAUAACAAUUGAGAUCAACAAAAAUCAACGUCUUUGAGCAUUUAAAGAGCUUGUCCACGAGAAGAGGAUCAAUAAAUGAUAUGCAAAGAAUCAACCUUUUCAUUGAACUCUAGUUAUUUGCUAACAUCUGUUAUUUCUAAAAUUAUUGUAUCUAAUGAAAUCAUUUAUAUUCUUUUAGGAAUAAAUUUUUGAUAAGCACGACCAAUCAACGAAUGAACUUAAUCUAUUAAAAUGAGCAAACAAACAAUAGUGAAUUAGCAAAUUCAAGGACAAGGUGUCCUUAGUAAAAUAUGUGAUGUAGCAUGAUGGAAGUCACUACUAACCAACACAUGCGAAGUUGGGCAAAUGAAGUGCUAGAGAGUCAUGACUUUGAAGACGUGGAUGAUGCCCUAGAUUUAGCUACUUGCUGCCCAUGUUGCUAUAGUAAGCGCCAUGAAAUAAAAGAGUUUAUUUACUAUUGAAUUAAUUUAGCCUAAGAGGCCUAUAAAUCAGCCAAUUUUUUUUGAGACAUUGAUCAGAACCCAAUCAAGCCUUCUGAUCAGAAGUGACCUGAGUCACCCAAUUUGAGUCAUUUUGCCACUUGACUCAAGUCACCUGAUUUAACUAUCAAACUUGCCUAGUUUGAGCUACCCCGUCCAUCAAUCUGAUUUAGUUAGCAGUCAGUAGUCAACUAGAGAUAGUCAAUAGUCAAGGGUCACAAUGAAUGGGUCAACAUGCAAUUUUAUUUUCAAGGGUCAAGUAUAUUUUUUACACUUUCUCCAUUUCAUUUGUUCAUUUAAUAUACUCUCUUGCCACACUAGUGUGAGAACUCAUUAGAUAGUCAUUGAUAUAUAUUCAAUUUAUCAUUAUCUAAUGGUAUAAAAUAUUUUUUGAUCCAUUAAGUUAACGAAUCUCCUAUUUUAUGUGAUUUUCUUAAAUUACUAAAUCUGAUCUUUUUUCUCCCACAUUAAUACGAGGAGAUCGAAACUCUGUAAAAUUCUCAUUAAUAUGAUCAAGUGAUGAAUUAGGAAAUAAGAAGGGAGUAAACAUAAGAAGAGAAAUUUAAAUAAAUCAUAUUUGACCAAUUAAACCCAUCUCUCAUUCCUAGUCUAUGGGUGGCUUUAAAUCUACUAGUUUCAGAAGAAAAGUUGUCUUGCUAUCUAUAAUAUCAAUUUAAUGUUGUGCUCUCUCAAUCUGAUUAUGAAGAGAAUUUUAAAGGAGUCUAAUUUAUCUAAUAUCAAUAUGAUGGUGUUCUUCUUGUAUUGGCCUCUUGUUUUCACCACUCUUGUGCUGGGCAUUUGGGCUCUAUUUGAUGGCUGGGCAACCCAAUGAGCUCACAUUGCAUGUCCAUCCUAAGCCAUAUCUGCUGCCACCACCAGCCAUUUGGGCUCUAGUUGGUGUGCUCCCUCUACAGGCUUCUUUUCUGAGCGUCUUUACAAAAAGAUACUAUCCAACAAUGCAUUGUUACCUCUUCUAGAGGAUAUAUGGGUAGUGCUAUGCCAUCUUCAUGUAUAGAGAUGAUACAAUGUUCUACGCUGAGGAGUGCUUCUAGGAGCAGGUCGCAUUCGACAAGACUUAAUGGGUCAAAGAGUGGGCUGCUCCAUGUUUUCAUGGUGCCUUGAGGGGCCAUGUGCAGAUUUUGGCCUGGGCCACAACACAGUAAGACCACGUUGGAACCCAAAUUUAGGAAAAUGUCAUCUUGGCUUCCGAAGUAAAAAAGUUAAACAAAGAUUAUCUUAUGUUGUCCUUUUUUGGCCACUGGGCAAGAGUGGUGGUCAUAGGGCCCCGAAGUACGGCACGAGGCCCUGCUCAUGUUACACAAACACUGGUCAUGAUCACAAUUAGGUCAGGGUCUCUAACCUGGACCUGACCUAAAAUUGGAUCACAGGCUCGGUCAGGUCAAGGGCUCUUACCUUAACCUGACUUGUAACAUAUAAAUUAUUAUAUUCUUAUUAAUUAAAUCAAUUUAUAUACAAUUUAAUCAAUUGAAAAUAUCUAAAAUUAUCAUCUAUAGUAUACAAAGUAAUAAUAUAUAAGGUUUAUUUCAAUUAUUCUAAAUUGAUUAAUUAAAACAUAAUAUAAUUGAAUUAAAAUAUGUAAUAUAGAACUAAAUAUACGAGCUUCUUUGUGACAUGAGUCAUGUAUUUAUGAGUGGACGAUAAUGCGGACAACCGUCUAGAAGGCUCAUUAAUGCCAUUGAGGCCGAUCAUUGGAUCUUGGUCUGCCGUCGUGCGGACAAGUCUUCCCCUCCUCCGCCUUUAUUACUGAGGGGGUCUUCAAACUUCUGAAACUCAAACAAAGAAAGAGCUGCUAACAUGGAGAUCUGGGGAGUCGGCGUGCUCACGCUCUUACUCUGCCUGGCUCUGGCGGCCCUCCUCCUAGGGAGGCCCCGCCGGGGGUUGCCGCCCGGUCCGCUGGCCGUACCCAUCCUCGGCAAUCUCAUGUGGCUCACUCGCUCCGCCGCCGACUUCGAGUCCGUCCUCCAGGAUCUCUGGGUCAAGUACGGCCCCAUCGUGACAGUCCACAUCGGCUCGCGCCCGAUCGUCGUGGUCGGCGACCGGGAUAUCGCCCACGCGAUGCUCGUCCAGCACGGGGCCGUCUUCGCCGAUCGACCUCCCCCCUCCCCGGCCUUCCGAUUGCUAAGUUUCAACACGUUCACCAUCCACACCGAAUGUUACGGCCCUCGAUUUCGGCUUCUGCGCCGCAAUCUCGCGUCGGGGUUGCUCAACCCUUCUCGUGUCAGGCAGUGUGCCGAUGCUCGCCAGUGGACCUUGCACCUGCUCCUCGACAAGCUCCGCCUCGCUGCGACGUCCGUAGACAGCACUGUGGUUCCCAGGGAGACCUUCCAGGAUGCCAUGUUCAGCUUGCUGAUCUACCUCUGCUUUGGACAGAAGCUGACCGAGGCGGCCGUGAGAGAGGUCAAGGCCGUGCAGUGGGAUUUGCUAGACUUCUUGGGGUCUAUCGCUGUCUUCGAGUUCGCCCCAAAAAUCAGUAGGUUUUUUUUCAAGGCGAGUUGGAACCGUGCCCUCCAGAUCCGGCAGCGGAAGAGGGAGAUCUGCCUCCCUCUGAUCAGUGCUCGGCGCCAAUUUAAGGAAUCUAAGCUUCCGACGGAGAACAACUUCCGCUUCUGCUACUUGGAUUCCCUUCUGGACCUCGAGAUCCCGGAGGAGCAGGGGAGGAAACUCAACGACGAGGAGAUCAUCUCGCUCUGCUCCGAGUUCCUCGUCGCCGGCACCGACUCCACCUCCACGGCGCUGGAGUGGAUCAUGGCCAACGUCGUUAAGCACCCAAGCGUGCAGGAAAGACUGGCGGAGGAAAUCGGCGCAAACACCAAGGAGGAUGACCUGGAGAAGAAACCAUACCUGAAGGCCGUGGUCCUAGAGGCGAUCCGGCGACAUCCGCCGACUCACUUUGCGAUUCCCCACGCUGCCAAGGAGGAGAUAUCUCUGUGCGGGUAUACCAUCCCCAAGGGCGCGAACGUCAGCUUCGCGGCGGUGAGGAUUCAACGGGACGGGGAAACGUGGCCGGAUCCGCUGGAAUUCCGGCCGGAGAGGUUCCUCCCCGGCGGUGAGGGCCACGGAGUGGACCUCAACGGUACCAAAAAGAUCCAGAUGAUGCCGUUCGGCGUGGGACGGAGGAUCUGCCCCGGGAUGGGUCUCGCGCUGCAUCAUCUGCAGUACUUCGUGGCCAACAUGGUGGGGGAGUUCCGAUGGGAGGCGGCCGACGGCGAGGAGGUCGACCUGUCGGAGAAAGCCAAGUUUAUGGUGGUCAUGAGGAACCCCCUGCGCGCGCGUAUCUCCGCCCGCCGUCAGUAGCACCGCCGUCGGCCGCCGCCGUUCACCUGGGGCACCAUCGUAGGUGGGUAGAUGGCCGGCCGUAUAUCUCCCGUCUUUUGGGCUGUCCCAAUUCACCGCCCAAAAAAAUAAGUAGUCUUUGAAUGUUCACCGCCGCCACAAGGUUGAGGAGACAAGCGAGUCUUCUCAAGCGUAUUCACCCAGUUACCACUUUGAAUAAUCUAAAGGGCAGUAGUAAUCUGUUCUAUCUAUUUUGGUGCACAUAUGUCGACUAGAGUUCCUAAUUUUUUAACCGUUCAGCUCCUGCCCUCGUCGUGGGAGAGUCCGAGGGAUCUCAGGCAUCAAUCGGACUCAAGAGUUCCUGACGCGUCGGUCGUCAGUUUCCUCGUGCCGAAUUUUUUUAAGAAUUUAAGGCGUAACGUUAUUAUGAUAUUAGAAUUUUUAGCAUGGGUACAUUUUUGGUCCUUGUUAGGUUUCGUUGCCACGAGAUCAACGCGCUACAAAGGCGUUACCAUCGUUGCCAGAAGGGGUCGCAGAUCAGUGGCCCCGCGGGUGAGUGAUGAACAGGGAGGGCCGAGGAAGAGAUAGGGUGAAUGGCAACAGGAGAUGGUGGGAGGGUUGUGCGGCGGAGAGAGACGCAGCUAGAUGAAGAAAAGGUAGGAAGGAGGGGCAAUGUCACGUGGGUAAAAAGGGACAGAGAUAGAGAGAGAGAGAGAGAGACAGACAGACAGACAGAUUGUUAAUGAGUAGUCAAAGUCUCAGAUAUUUCGGGCCAUUAAUGACAUACCGGUCUGGCCCACUAGGUGACGGUUAUAACUGUCACUAUAGACAAAUUGUUCUAACUCUGAUCUUGAUCAUUUCUUAAUACAAUUUGUAAUCUGAUAUAUAAGGUCUAUAACUGUCUCAUUGUAAGUAAGAAUCAAAAAGUUCAUUUCUUUUCAAUUUCUCUCUCUCCAUCUCUUUCUUCUUCUUCCUCGACUCUCUUCUUGGUAUUAGAGCUAGGAGCAGAACAACUUUCUUAAUAUGGCGAACUCCACUAAAUCAGAGCUCGCAAAGCUAGGAGAUAGUCAAGCAAUCUCCCAUCCACAACCAGCUACAUCGAUAGGUUUAAAUAUUCCUACCAAGCUCACGCGUGAGAAUUUUCUUCUUUGGAAGACACAACUGUUCCUCCUUCUCAAUUGCUACGAUCUUGCUCAUAUUCUCAUGCAAGAACCUCCAAUUCCUACAAAAUUGGAUACACAAGGUGAAAUCACGGUAAAUCCUACCUAUUAGGCAUGGUGGCGACAAGAUCAACAAGUAUUUUCCCUGAUUGUCUCCUCUCUAUCAUAAGGUGUUCUUUCAUGUGUUGUCGGUAAAUCUAUAGCCAAGAGGUCUGGGAAGCACUCUCUAGAAAUUUCUCCUCAAUGAAUCCUUCAAGAAUCAUGCAUCUAAAUAAUCGCCUCCACAACACAAUGAAAGGUACGAGACCUAUUGCAGAUUAUGUACAAGAAAUCAGAUGCAUUUGCAACGAAUUAGCAGCAGUCAGACAUCCAGUUCCUGAAAUUGUGUCAAUCUAUGUGUUACUUAAAGGUCUUGGAGCACCUUAUGCAGCCUUUAAUGCUGGAAUUACUUCCAAUCUUCACAAUCUGAGUUUCGAAGAUGUAGUUGCACAAAUCAAUUCACACAAUGAAUUGACAACAUUCAUCAAUCCCCCUAGAGAAAGUGCCACAUUAGAAUUUCCACCUGUUACAAAUUAGUCUCAAUUCAAUACACUCGAUCAAGGAUGCAGACGAUCCAAUGGGAGAUAUAACAGAGGGAGAGGGCAAAAUGGAGCCAGGUAUACUCCACGUUGUCAAAUAUAUGGGUGAUUUGGUCACAAAGCCCAAGACUGCCGCGAAAGGUUUAAUAGGAACUUCUAUGGAUGGCAAAAUUCCUCGGUAUCCCAGCAACAGGUGCCACAAGCUUAUAGCAUAAAUCUGCCACAUGCUUAUAACACAAGUACACCUACUGCUCAAGUUUCCUCAGAGAAUUCUGUGUGGUAUCCUGACAGUGGAGCCACACACCAUGUCACACAUGAUCCACAAACUUUGGUGGAUCUAGCACUGUACCACAGUAAUGAGCAAUUGCAAGUUGGCAAUGGUGCAAGUCUGUUGAUUCAUUCGAUUGGUUAUUCCUCAUUAAAAUUGAAAAACUAUCCAAUGAAGCUAGUCAAUGUUCUACAUGUUCCAGAAACUCAAAAAAAUCUUCUGUCCAUUUAUCCUCUCACUAAUGACAAUGAUGUAUAUGUUGAAUUUCAUGCUGAUCAUUGUAUCGUGAAGGACGAGGCAAUCAGAACUCCACUACUCAAGGGAACAAUUAAAGAGGGGCUUUAUCUACUCAGUCAAUCAAAUAAUCCAAAGGCAUAUCUCAGACAAAAGGUGGCUUCAGAUCUAUGACAUCAUCGACUCGGUCAUCCCAAUUUAAAGAUUCUUCGUCAUAUCAUUGCUGCCUAUGGACUCCCUACCUUGGCUUUUAAUAAAAACUAUGUGUGCAAUGCAUGCCACUCAUCUAAAUCUCAUCGAUUGCCCUUCUUGAAUUCCUUAAAUCAAUCAAGUCGCCCUCUUGAAUUGAUCCACUCAGAUCUUUGGGACCAUCUCCCACUACUUCACAUCUCGGUCAUCGCUACUAUAUAUUGUUCAUUGAUGACUAUUCUAGAUAUACAUGACUAUAUCCACUUAAAGUGAAGAGUGAAGUCCUACACACAUUCAUGGAAUUUCAACUUCGAGUGGAGAGACAAUUCAACCUGAAAAUUCAUAACUUUUAGUUAGAUUGGGGAGGAGAAUAUCAAUCUCUAAGCAAAUUUUUGAAGGAGCAAAGAAUCAUUCACCGAGUAUCAUGCCCACACACGCUUGCCCAAAAUGGCAUAGUAGAGAGAAAGUAUAGGCACCUCGUUGAAAUUGCUCUCUCUUUACUAAAACAUGUCUCACUUUUGAACACAUUCUGGGACGAGGUAGUCUGCACAUCUGCCUACUUGAUAAAUAGGAUGCCUACGCCUCUACUGCAUUACAAUUUACCAUACAACGUUCUAUAUAAUCAACGGCCUGAUUAUGUAUUUUUGCGAAAUUUUGGGUGUCUGUGCUACCCUUAUAUUUGCCAUUAUGCAACUAACAAACUAAACUCAAGAUCAAAAAGGUGCAUGUUUUUUGGCUAUAGUGCCUUUCAUCAAGGCUACAGAUGUCUUUCAUUGUCGACUGGUCGCAUAUACAUAUCACGGGAUGUCAUUUUUUAUGAAAAUAUCUUCCCCUAUGCAACCAAUGCCGAUCCCACUCGAGGCAUAGUCAACCUUGAUAAUGGAAUCAUGGGAUCUUACUUAAUUUCAAGUUCCUCACCUAUAUCUCAUUGUCCUUCAUUACCUAUCCUGUCCAACCCAUCUAACUCCAUCCAUACUACUAAGUCUAUCAUUCUCCCAAAGUCACCCAUAACUACUGUUGACCCUGAACCUUCAGACCAUCCCUUUUCUCCACCACUGACUCCAUCAGGCCACAUUCCAUCACCCAAUCCUUUGUUGCCAUCAAAUAUUGAUCAUAAAUCCUCUCCCUCUCGAGUGAAAACUAAACCACUGAUUGAUAUAAUUGAGUCCAUUGCUACAACUAACUUUGUUAAAUAUCCUCUUCCACAUUGCCUAAAUGUCAUUACAUCCAAAUGUGUCGAACCCUCUCACUUCACCCAUACCUCUAAACAACCUUAGUGGAUCAAUGCCAUGAAUGAUGAAUAUCAGGCCUUGAUACAAAAUAAAACUUUGCAACUGGUUCCUCGUCCAUCCGAUAGACCAAUCAUCGGUUGUAAAUGGAUUUAUAGAAUCAAACAUAACCCAGAUGGAAAAGUCAACCAUUUUAAAGCGCUCUUGGUCGCCAAAGGAUACCACCAGAAGGAGGGAGUAGACUAUCACGAUACUUUCAGCCCAGUUAUCAAAGUCACCACCAUUCGACUACUCUUGGCACUUGCUAUUAGUCAAUAGUGGCAAAUUUGACAAAUUGACAUCUCAAAUGUAUUUUUACAUGGUGACUUGAAAGAGCUUAUUUACAUGGAGCAACCACAAGGUUUUACACAUCCCAAAUAUCCAGACUAUGUGUGUCAAUUGUGGAAGUCUUUAUAUGGCCUCAAACAAGCCCCUCGAGAAUGGUUUAGCAAGUGUCAAUUGUGGAAGUCUUUAUAUGGCCUCAAACAAGCCCCUCGAGAAUGGUUUAGCAAGCUUAUCAGUCAACUCAUAAUCCUUAGAUUUACAGGGUCUAAAACAGACACAUCUCUAUUUUUCUCACAUACAUCGACUAUCUACAUCCUCAUGUAUGUCGAUGACAUUCUUAUUCUUGGACCAUUCAGUUCUCGCAUUGAGGCUCUCAUCAAGUCUCUAGGUGCUCACUUCUCCUUAAAAAACUUAGACAAUGCUUCACAUUUUUUGGGCAUAGAAUUUCAAAAAUAUAAAGACGGCUACCUACUUACUCAGGCAGCCUACACUACAUCCCUCUUUCGAGCCACUCACAUGGAGCUCAGCAACCCACUGCCAACUCUAUGUCCCACAACUUGCUCAGUUUUCACUACCAACUCACUAGCUGAUCCUGUCACUUAUCGACGCAUUGUUGGAGCACUCUAGUACCUGAGCCUCACAAGGCUAGACAUUUCCUUUGCUGUCAACAAGACAUGUCACUCCAUGCAUAGCCCCCAACCCAGUGACUAGACUCAUCUCAAACACCUAUUACACUAUCUCAAAGGGAUAGUCACUCAUGGCCUUUAUCUUACUAGUCGAUCUGAUCUUACCAUCACGGCUUACAGUGAUAUAGAUUGGGCGGGAAGUGACAUAGAUUGAUGAUCAACAAGAGGAUUCCUCAUUUAUCUUGGGCAAAAUUUAAUCUCUUGGCGGUCCAAGAAAUAGCCCAUAGUUGCCUGGUCUAGCACCAAGGCUGAAUACAAAGCUAUUGCUGAUGCAACAUCUAAAAUAAUUUAUAUUAACUCUCUCCUUCGUGAACUGAACAUUUCUACAUCACCACCAAUACUAUGGUGUGAUAAUAUCGGUGCUACUUACCUGUCUACUAAUCCUGUGUUUCAUGCCAAAAUGAAACACAUUGAAGUGGACUUUCAUUUCAUUCGGGAACAAGUUGCUGCUCACAAACUUCGAGUUUGUGUCAUUUCAAGAAAAGACCAACCAAUAGACCUAUUGACGAAGCCUCUCCCAAAACAUAGUUUUCUCCUACUGCUUUCCAAGCUCAACGUCAUGCCACUACCUCUUUCGACACUUCGCUUGUGGGUGGAUGUUAAAGAGUAGUCAAAGUCUUAGACAUUUCGAGCCACUAAUGACAUAUCGAUCUGGCCCACCAGGUGACAGUUAUAAAUGUCACUACAGACAAAUUGUUCUAACUCUAAUCUUGAUCAUUUCUUGAUACAAUUUGUAAUCUGAUAUAUAAGGUCUGUAACUAUCUUAUUGUAAGCAAGAAUCAAGAAGUUCAUUUCUUUUCAAUUUCUCUCUCCAUCUCUUUCUUCCUCUUCCUCGAUUCUCUUCACAGACAACCAAACAGAGAAUGGGGAGGGAGGAGUUGACACCCCUCGCAUGGAGGACCGACGUUAUGCGUUGGCAAUCCCACAGGGAUAAGAAGCUACUGCGCCAUCUUCACCACCAAACUGGAGCAAGGAAAGGGAGAAGGGACCAUGGUCACUAUUAUUAAGUGGAAUAUGGCUGUUGCAUCUCUUUUGUUGUCACUCGCUAGUGGCAAUCAUGAUAGAAUGACAAAGGAGUGUAGAGAGAGAGAGCACGAAGGGGCAAGAUUCCCCCCUUGUGGAGGGAAGCGAUAGAUGACUAGGAAGUACUUCUCAGCCCUAAACGGUCAGUAGCUUGAGCCUUCUUGGAUGGUGCCAAUGGAUUCCAUCUCUAUUAAACUUACGAGCUCUUGAACAAUUAUUUGAAUAUCUGUUCUAUCUACAAGACACUCAAAUGGCCCUACUUUUAAUUAAGCACCAUUCUCAACUUGUAUCCCAUAGAUCACAUUUUCUCGUCAUGGACAUGAAAGUAGAUGAAGUAGCCCUUGUUUUGGCUGUAGGGGUAAUGUUCAACGUCAGUUAAUCGGUAAUAGGUUUUGGCGCAUGACUGACAAGUGCUACGAGCGAUUUGAUGAGGUUUUUUUUCCUAAUAUUACUGUAUAACCUCUUAUCAAUUAGUCUCUAUAGCUACCUAAAUAUUACACUACUGAUUUCAAUUGAAACAGCUCUACUACCCAUUUUCUUACUUCAUAUAACUCAAAUGACACUACGAUACUUGACAUCUAGACGUAGGUGCAACACAUUGCACCUAAAAAAGAUUACAGUUCACAGGGGCCAAGACACAUUUGCCUUUAUCAAUGACGACUUUCAUUUAAGAUAUAUUCACUUUUAGACAUUUCUAAAGUAUUUCUUACAACUCUCCUAAAUGUGUAACAUGCCAGAAGAUUAAAAGAUAUGUGGUUUUAACGCAACGAAACUGUUGGCGAUGACCCUUUGAGUUGAGUGGAUGUUGAGGUUGGUGGAAGAAGGGUUGAAUUCACGACUUGAAUCCUCAAAAGUCAAGAUUUCUAGUGAAGCCUUCUUGUCUUGAGUCCACAGAACGAAGAAGCUAUUCCCUUCGUGCUCAAGGGCAAAUCUUGAAUCCAUAUAACCAACGAACUAACUCCCUGAGUCCACAGGGAUGCUGGAGUCCAUCAAUAGAGGGGAAAAACUCUCAAAGAGAAGAAACUCAUGAAAUUCUAUUCAUAAAAAAUAUGUUGAAUGCCCUUGGGCUACAUGGAGCAUACUUAAAUAGGCUAGAGCUUGUGAAAAGGGUGCCAACUUUGAAUUUCAAAUGAAAUUUGAAAAUUAUGAAAGAAUUAUAUUUGAGAAAGUUUUUGAAAUAGAAAUGGGCUUAAAAUAGAACGAAAUAGACUUUUCUAGAAGGUGGUGUAAAGGCAGGUGAUAGUUAUGGAAGGGAAAUGAAUAGAAGAAAGAGGAGAAAUAGAAAGAGGUUUUAAAUAGGGUUAAAUAGAUUUUAGAAGGUGGUGAACAUAGAAGGUGGUGUCUAAAAUAAAAAGGGAAUAAAGAAAGGACGAGACCUAAAUAUAGAAAGUGUCAAAUAUAGAAAGUGAUCUAAAUAUAAAAGGUCUAACAAUAGAAAGUGAACUAAAUGUCAGAAGGAUCUAAAUAUAGAAGAGUCUAAAAAUAGAAAGUUCUAAAAAUAAAAACUUCAAAAAAUGAAAAGUUGAUCUUCAAGUCUUUGUGUGUUCUACUCCAAUAGAUGUCCUAUUGGUUGGUUGCAUCAAGUUUGCAGAUAUCACUCUGAAUCAAACAAGAUAUAUGCUUGUAUUUUGAUGUAAUGAUAUCAGAUUAUCAAAUUCAGAAACCUUAUCAUAUAAUUAUUGAUCUGUGAAGGUUUAUUAAAGCUCCAUUUAAAUGACCACUAAUAAUGUUUCCAAAGUUGUUCUCUACAAAGAGAUGACACAUUGCAUGCAAGAUCGUCGAUUUUUGAAAACAUAUAUUUAAUAAAAAACUAGAUUAUUUAAAAUUUAAAUGUUUUAACAUGUGGUAAAUAUAUUAUUGAGCUUGUAUCCUUUUGUGAUGAGAUUUUUCGUAAAGGUAAAAUGACACCUUAACUAAGAAUAAAAUUUAGGGGUUCAAAAAUAACUAGGACUAGAAAUGAUAGUAUUAAUUUAAUACUUGCACAUUCUAGUUGAUGUCAUAAAUUAUGAGGGUUUGAUUUUUUCAUGAGACAUUACUAUCAAAUGAAAUAUUUUUCAAUAAUUUGAAAACCUCCAAAUGAGUUACAAUAAUGAAAUUUAGGCAUGUCUUCUACAGGUUAAAUGAGUAAGAAUAAUACAAGGAAACAUGGAAAAACAUUGUAGGCGUUUCUUUUUGAGUUAAAUAGAAAACACCAACUAUAAUCAUUUUAUUUUUAAGGAAGAUGAAUAUAUAGAAAAAAUAAAUCACUAAAAAAAUAAUGGAUGACUUCAAUGGUAGAUGAGUAGUAUAGGAUAAAAUUGAAAAUAAAUGACAUAUUACUUUUAGAUUUAUUCUCUUGUUCUGAAAAUGUCUAAUAGUGUGCUCCAUCUUGAAAUCUAUCAAAUGGAUGGAAAGAUUGUGAUUCAAAGUAGUGACCUUGAUGGAAAAAAAUAAUUUGAACAGAGUGAAUCAUCCACUUCUAUUGGGAGAAAAUAGAAAUUUUCUACUAAUAAAUAUUUUAUGCCUAAAAUUUUUUUAAGACAUAAAAUAAAAACCAGGAGGUAUUUUAUUUCUUAGUUUUUUAUAUUGAAUAUGGUAAUUUUAAAUGUUGCAAAAGUCAGAAUAAUUCUUGUGUCACUUUUUUGCUUGUAUGCUUACAAUUUAUUAAUAUUUGGUUCAAGUCCAUGAUGUUGCACUUACCUAGUCUCAUUAUGUGUAGACAACUUUUUAUGAAUUCAUAUACGACUAUUUCAUUAUUAUUGGUUGAUCUUUUUUUUAGGCAUUUGACACUUGGGGUGGCUCACUAGGUGUGAUUUGCAUUUGCAUGUGGACCUGUAGUGGACCAGCCCUGCAUGGAUUUGUUGUCAUAUGGUCCAUUAUAUGUAACUGGUAGAAGGUUUUUUCAAAAGCUGGCUUUGUGUAAGGGACUAUUGGACACCAAGACCAAUUUGGUUCUUCUAGUUACAAUUGACAUCUACAAUUAGGGAUGAAGUGAUGCAAGACACAAUAGAUAAUUGCAUUAUAUGACAAAUAAAAUGAUGAAAGGGGACAAAAUCCAAACAAAAAUGAAAUGUUAAUAUCAUACUUUUCUAUCACUUGAAGAAAGUCACCUACCUAUUUCAAAUCGAUAGACAAUUAAUUUUUCAUUUUUGCUAGUGAAAAUACGUCUUAGUUGUCUUCUCUUGAGAAGUAUCAAGAAUCAUCCAUCUAAUUGGACCUCUUUAUUCAAUUCUCUUUGCAUUCCCUCUUAUGUAACAAAAUCUUUACGAAAUUCUCUUUUCCUAAAGCAUUCACUGUGGACACAAAAUCCUUGAAACUCUCUCACUCCUUGGCAGUCAAUGUGCAAGUUUGUAGGUCUAGAGUCAUCAAAUAAUUUUGACCAUGAACACAAAUCGAAACUAGAAGAUUCAUAACUUAAAAACUUGGUGUCAACAUCAUUGUGUUGAAAGAGAUUAAAAAAAGAAAAAUAUUGUUAUUAUCUUUAGUAAAAUAUUUCAAGUGAAAAAAGUGAUAUUGAGAUUGAUCAGCAUCCCUAUGGAUGACUGAAUUCACCAAAUUUUAAUUUAGUUAUUAUUUUGAAUUCAUUUUAUGAAUAUUUGAAAUUUGAUCAUUUUUUAUACAAAAGAGCAAAAUGAUAUAGUUAGCUAUUAGAAAUAAUUAGUGUAUAUAGAGAAAUUAGUUAGCUAUUGAAUAAUCUUCAUAACUAUAAUUUUUUUUCAAGUUUAAAAUAUUUACAUAUAAUUUUCAAAUAUAUUCAUAGAAUUAUAUAUUCUAGAAGAUCAGUCUAAAUUCAGUCAAUUAAUUCAAUAUGAAAACCAUUCAAAAUUGAUGAUAUAGUUUCAUGGGCACUUCGGGGACAGUAAAAUUUUAUACUUAUAUUUUAGUUCACAAAUUGUAACAAAUUUUGUCUAUCGCUCUUUUGUUAAUGUGAUAGUUUAUGUAAAUUAAAAUUUUUUGAAAUAAUAUAAAAUAAUAACCCAUAUGGUUAAAUCAAUAAAAUAAUAAGUUCAACAUCAUGUGGCAUGGAUCUCUCCAGUAAAUUCUCAUUUGAGUAUUUAACUUAAUUUUUUUCAAUUAUAUCUAUAUAUCUUCAAUUAUUUCAUCUUUAUAAUCUUAUAAAAAUUUUCAUCAUCAAAGUAUUAUUUAUUUAAUGUUUUUAUUAUUAGAUCCCUAAGAUGUCUAUGUCAAGAGAAAAAUUUUAAAUUACACCAUUUUUCAAAAUUUUUUGAAAAUUAAAACGAGAGAUUAUUGGGUUCAUGAUUUUGAUAUUAAUAGUUAAUCACAUGAAUAUAAAAUGAAAAAUUUCUCCAAAACAUGUUUGAAAUAGAAUAUAAGUAAACCUUUAAGUGAGCUUUCAAAAAACACUUGAAUGAUUGAUUCUCUAUUUGCACACAUGUUGCAAUCUAAUUGAAAAGGCCUAUUGCAAAUUCUUACCUACUUAAACUUAUACCAAUCCUCAAACCCACAACAAACUAAGAAGUUACUGUUUCAAUAUUAAAACAUUAAUGUAAAUUCAUUGAAUUUCAUUUCUUCUAUGAAAGCAUUGUAGGAGAGUGCUUGUAAUAAGGGUAUUUAGACAAGCAAGCACCUUAUUAUCUAGCAUGAUGUGUUAUACCAAGAGAAUCUAUCAUGUAAGAGAUUUGUGGACCCAAAUCACCAUGUCAAUCCAUUGAAAAUAAUGUCAAAUCACUAGACCAUAAAAUCAAAAAAAAUACUUAAAACUAACUAAAAAUGAAAAUUUUCAAUAAGAAACCAACUCAACUCCUUAUUGUAUUAUAUCAAACAAGAGGAUAAACAUUUGGGUAGGUAUGUUUUAGUUAACAUGGUUUUAAUAUCUAUAGGUGUUCUAGUUUCAUGAAUCUAAUACAACAAGAUAAGUUGUGGGAUAUAUCAUUUUUUGCAAAAGAUUAAAAAAAAUUUCAGUCAUAAUUUACAAUGAACAAUCACUUUUGAUAUUUUCACAAUGUAUCAUAUUUCUUACCUCUUGAUAAAAAUUGUAAAACACCUAAAGGUUUCACUUUUUGUGCUAGCAAGUAAACCCAAGUAAAUUUAGAAAAAAACUCCACAAUAAAAAAAUUAAAGUUAUUUCCUCCAUUGCUAGCACCCUAGGACAAGAUGAAGCCAUCAAGGUGCAUUAAAUAAAUAUUUUUAGUUGAUGCAAUGUGAUGUUUUUAUUUGAAGUGUUCCAUUGUUCAUUUUCUUUAAAUAAAACUUACACAAAUGUAGUUGCAGUGAUUUUGCUAGUUCAAGAAGUCCAAUUGGAGAUAACUUUCUAAUUGCAUAUGUGAAAAUAUGAUCUUAUAUUUAAUGUCAGGGAUUUAGUUCAUGUUCAAUUUAUUUAACAAUUGGAUGUGUCCUAUUUCAUUUGAAAUUCUACUUUCUAUUCUUAAAAUUUAAUUUAAAAAUGUCAAAAAUUAUCCAUCAAACUUUUUUAAACUCGAGAUUCAUGUUACUAUCAUGUAGUUGAUUUAUGUCAAUGAUAUUAUGCUUUAAUCCUUAUACAAGAUAUAUUUUUUAAACAUGGUAUGAUUUUUUCUCUCUUGUUUGCACCAAAAUAUAACCUUACCUAUGUCCACUGAGUUAAGGAAGGAAGCUAGAUAGUUUUUUCUGAUGUUAUAUUUCCUUAGGAUCCACUGUCCAAUACUAUUUUGAGGUGGAUUGCCAAAUAUCCUCCUAAAAUAAAUUACACUUUUAGUGGUGGAGCUCAAAUUGCUUUAGGCUGGUUAGUAAUAUUAUUUUGAGUUCCCUUUUUGGGACCCACGUGUAUGUUUGUUUUCUUGUAAAUUUUUAUUUCUCUAGAUAUGUUUCCUUAAGGAUUGGAUUAUAUGUUAGUCCUCGUCUCAGAUAAAUUCUUUUAUUCUUAAUAAGCAAUUUAAUUCAUCUUGACCUCCACAUACACUUAUAAAUGACGAACUGAAAUCAAAAUAAUUAGAUGCAAGAAUGGCAUUUCUGUUCUUAUAAUCUUCACAUUGAUGGCCUUGUUCAGCAUAUUUUGAUUUUAAAUUAGAAAGCUUACGUUUGAUGUAGAAGAUGUUUUUUAAUUUUAAAAUUUCAAUUUACAGUUUUUGUAUGCGAGUAAAAAUUUAUUAAAGCUUUGAUUAGUUAUUCUGUAUUUAAUUUAGAGUCAAAUGAAGAUGGUACUUUAAUAUUUUGAAUGUGCUUUUUGUGAGAAUUUGUUCUCUCGGUCAUACAUGCCAAAACUUUCGUUUUUUGUGCCUAGACAGACUUUGCACUGACAUGUCUCUUCUAUUUUCUAAUUCAUGGGUAAUUUUCAUUAUCCUUGAUGUUUUCUCAAGCGUAUUGAUACUAAUUAUAGGGGACUUGUUUCACAUUUCUAAAUGUUUCAUUAGGGAUGUUUCACGGUUCGCCCAAGAGUUUCAGUCAUCAGGAGUUUUUCAAGUGCUUUUCCUCCCCUCCAUCGUAUGUAAGUAGACUUACAUGCAUAGGCAUCAUCAUCCAAGUGUUAGGGGAUCUGAAACUGGCCAUAGGUGAGGUGACCUUUUUCUUCAUUUCAACUGUGAGGUUAAAAUACCUGUCGUACCAUCUCUCAUCUUUUAACUUGAUUUGAACCGUCGCAUAACUUUAAAGAAGAAGAAACUGAAGCUCGAGCCCUUUGGCGGUUCAAGGAUGGAAGUAGUGAAAUUCUUCAAGCUCAGUCUGAGGCCAGUAACAUCGAGAAGAGUGAAACCAUCUGCAUUACAGAUUACGGCUAGUAGUAGAUUUUAGUUGCAUUAAUGGCAGAUUUACGUAUGUUGGUCAGGUUUAGUAGUUACAGGAGUCAGUCAGUCGCGUGGAUGUCAGGCGGCUGGGGACUGGACCCACGGUCUUGACGCUCGUCUGCAGCAUUUCCACGAAGAACACUAGCCAGCGUAUCUAUGCUGGAUGGUGAUGAAGAGAUACAGAUAAAAGCAAUCGUGAUGAACGAUAAAUAAAGCAUCGGUUUCAGAUACGUCCACAAUCAGAAGCGAGCUCGUUCUUCCAUGUACAUCUCGCCCACCAUCCACAGUCGACCAAAAGGUAGAAGAAGAAGGGCUAAAACACGAGGUAGAGGGGCCGCCAUUACCCAGGCCGCCCCUCACCUCACCUCACCUCUCACCAGGGGAGGAAUAAGGAAAGGCUGAU